UGCGAUAACGAAGUUUCUAGAAGAAAAGCACAAGAAAAAGCUGCCUGCUAAUUUCAGAAAACUUUUAUUAGUUCAACUCAAGAAACUUGUUGCUUCUCAGAAGCUUGUCAAAGUCAAGAACUCCUUCAAACUACCUUCGGCUCGGCCUGCUCCUGCUAAGAAACCACAAGCCACUAAGGCCAGCCUGCUCCUGCUAAGAAACCACAAGCCACUAAGGCCAAAACUGCCAAGUCGAAGCUGAAAAAGAUAACAACCACUGCCAAGCCGAAGCCGAGAAAGAUAGCGACCCCUGCCAAGCCAAAGCCGAAGCCAAAAGCCAAUGUUGCAGCCAAGCCGAAGGUGAAAACUCCUGUGAAAGCGAAGCCGGCUGCUAAGCCAAAGAAGGCGAUUGCAAAACCAGCUAAGGUAGCGAGGACAAAGAAGGUUGCAUCACCGGGGAAGAAGGCUGUAGCGGUGAAGCUCAAGAGUGUGAAGAGAAAAGCAGCGAAGAAGUGAAGAUUUUGAUAUAGUGUGUGUGUUUUUUAGGGCGUGUAGAUGGGGGGUAGUGAUUGUAAAUUUGAAAGAAAAGGGAGGGUGCUAAUGGUAGUUAGUUUUACAUUAAACAGGAAUGUUGCUUUUUCUAGGUUAUCUUUCAGCUUGACUAAUUAACUAUUAGUUUUUGUUUUUGUGCAAUUUUGGUGUGUAUUUUUUUCUGUUUUAUUUAUAAGAACUACGUCUUUCUAAAGGUGUUCUUCAAUGGCGUCUUGCAUAUCUUGCGCCCUGUUUAACGGCGUGCUAUAGCAAACAGCGAUCCGUUUUAUUCAGCUGCUUUCCGUGUUUAUGAAGCGCACGUUAAUGAUAACUGAUACGCAAAGGAAUGUAUUUUUUGAUUGCUUGGUCACUGAGAAAGGGAAAACGGAUGAUGGGUUUGGAUUUGUGAACUUGACUAGGUCAUAUAUUCUAGAAUGGGUUUUGUAAUCACUAUAAGAACCCCGGAGUAAAGGGGGGAGGGGUCUUCUGCGAUGGAUUUUUCCUCAGGCUUAGCACAACUGCUGCCGCUGCUAGAUGACGUGUGCAUUGCUAUCUGGGCUAAAAUCCUUGCGGUUACAGAGGAUGAUCAAUAUCAGAACAAACGAUGAACUGAUGAUAUCUUGGAACUAAAACCACUAUUAGAUUGUUAAACGCAGACAGGUACAGCUUCUGGUGUCUGCUGCCCCUGUCAUUACAAAUGAGAGAAUCAGCUGAUUGGGAAGAGAAUCAUCGACUUGAAGAGUUGCAGUUAUGUCCUCACUACAAUUGAUGAUAGAAUCAUGGAUGUCCUUGUCACUGUUGGAUUUGCUUAAUUGGCAUGCCUGAAGAAGGCUCGCUUUUGUUGCCGACUCCAGCCCUGAAAAUUGUCCAAACCAAGAGCAAAUUCCUCGGGACGAGCUCCACCACUUUGUAAAUAAUCUGCAUCACAAGCCCCGUUUAAGCAUUUACUAAUUAGUAACAUAUCCCAUCUAGAAACUCUCCAAGCUUUUCAAAUUUGAUUAUCCUAAAAUCACAACUUCACUGUGUGAACGCAUAUAAACAUGCGUUGUUUUUUAUCUUGGUGCAACCAGGACUAUGAACUGUGAAUUUCAGACGCGUGAUUUGGCAUUCCAAUAUCGUAUCGAGAUAUGCGUGUUUGGUGUGCAUGGGCAAACAAUAAGCAAAGGGGAUAAUUGUACUGUUGCUUGCGUGAUUAGCGAGAGCCAUGCCUCUUCAGGCUGCAGAUUCUAAAUUUGAACCCAGCAGCCAGUCACCACAUAUACCAGCCCUUCCCUGACAUGGAAUUCCUGGAGUGUUAGUUGGAGCGCUGCACCACAAAAGAAGAGAUUAGAGAGGAGAUCAACUAAACCGCCAUAAAAGGUACCAACAUUCCCUAGCUAUUCUGAAUUGAGCUCCAUUAGUGUCACAAAGUGAUAGAAAUUCAAACGGGAAGACCCAUCUGCUUUAGGAAUGCCAAAUUGAGCGAUUUGGCAAAUACACUACCAGUACCCUAGCUCUACAAAGAAAGUUAUAUUGCCAUAGACACUAGUAUAAAAGGGCCUUUGAGAGUUUGAAGUGAGUCUUUUGGCAGUCCAGGUGCAGAUUCAACACCCUCAAGCAUACCUGUCUACCCCUUUUCUACAGAACUUGAAUAAGAAGCACUGCUCAUUUGGUUAUCACAACAAUCCAUGGCUAUUCAUUCUAAAAGUUCUCACAAAAAAUAAAAAACAAACAAAAAAAUUUAAGUUUUUUUCCUUGUUUCAAUUCAUUUAGGAAACAAGAAUGUUACUUUCUUAACCUUUUACAAAGAUAUAAAUCCACCUUUCGUCCUUCCCUGCAGACAUUAACGGAGGGGUGUAUAUUGACACCAGGCAGAAACUAAUGCAACCGAAAUCGAAUCAGUGGAACAUUAAUAUUGGCAUAUUACCAGUUUGCAGCAGAUUCCAACAUUGUAUCAGUUCUACAUGUAGACUCUUGUUCCGUAUUUAACAAAGGUGAAUCCAAGAAAAACGAUGAAUAAUCUGGAUAGAACAAUUAGGUAAGAACUUCAUUCAAACAUCAAGAACCUGGCACCGUGUACAAUUUAAUAUAGAAGUUACGAAAGAAGUACAGGUUCUACUAGUUAAUGUUUCAAAAUGAGGAAAACAACUAACAACUGAUAAGAUCAGAACUAAUAACUUGAGUUUCCAAAUAACAUAGGCAGGAAAACCUCUUGGGUGACGAUAAAUCAGAUGAGAACAACAGAUUUGGUCCAUAUUAGAAUCAGUAACUCUUUCGAUAUAUAACAUGAUAUGUACUGAUAUAACUUACAAAACAUAUACAAUUCAGAGACACAAACCACUUGGAAAAAAAAACAAGAAGAAAAGGUCAUCGCAGCUGAAAAGAAGCAGGCUAUCUCCUCUCGAAGCAUCCAAUAUGAUAACUUAAGAAAUUCAAGAUGUUUUCCCACUUAAAGAGUUAGUAAGAACCAGCAGUUCAUGACUGAACAGAGAUGUCUGCAUUUGUCGGCUCAGCAGUCUUCUCGGGAACUGCUUCUGCUGUAACACGUUCCUGUUUAGAUCGGCCUGUGACUUUGCGAAUGCCAUUAGCAGUCUGCGAGCUGAUCUGAACCUUAGCUUUGGCAGUGCUGGUGGCAGUUGAAUCUUUGUGGUUACCGAUGCUGUGGCGAUGGCGAGCACAAUGUUUCCCCACUUCUUCCUGAGAUGUUUGAACUGCAUCACUGCAGCUUUUUCUCCUGUUUAAUUUUGGUGAUUGUGGUCGGGUCAAUGGUAACUGCAACCAAACAAAAUCAAGAAUUGAAUUGUAUUGUAAAAAAAGGGGGGGGCUGAAGGUAGAUUUAAAUCAAUGGCUGACUUAUGCAACUGUGAACCACAGCAUUUUAAAAUGACAAUUGUUUACUCUGGCAGUUCUAAACCAUGACGCGUGAGACACCAUAUCAUAAUGCUUUUAGACAUCAAACUCCCCCCCUUAACUAAAUACUAGUUACAUGCCACCUUCCCUCCCUUUAUACCAUCAAGACGGUCUAAACUCUAAAAAAACUGUAGCCUUGAACAAAAUCAAAACUCUGUACAGAGAAGAAUAGGUUUCUUGCUUGAAUGCCAUGGAUAAAGCAUUGGUUCAUGGAAAUAGGUCAGUUGCCUUCUGAAUGAACUAAUUAACACCAAAGCAUCUGGUAUCCUUUAUUUGUCCUGAUUUAUCUAUGGGAAGCAAUGCAUGGAUUUUUGCUAGUUUCAUUUACAUGUUCAAAUUCAAGGACUAGCAAAGAACUAAGAAUAAGAUCUGGCAGAAUACCUUCUUGCGUUCAACCUUGGGUGGAGGUGGCUCAUAGUAGAAAUUAGGUACCGGAUUUGCUUUAUACGCCAUGUUCUUUCUAAGCUGCCUGAUGGCUGCUUCUUGCUCUUCCUAAAAUGAAGGCAGAGAAGUUCAUUGGGUGACUACUUGAAAAGAACCAUCGCAAUACUUUGCUACAUGCACACAAACUGGCAUAAGAAAAGAGUCUACCUUGGUCCUUUCCUCAGCCUGGCUUCGCUCUUUUUCCAAAGCUCGGUGUUUUUCUUCCAAUUUUGAAUAAUACUAGACAACAAAAACAAAGAAAACAAGAUCAAUACAAAUCUAUCAAUUGCGAGAAGGUGUUAUGGAGAACGUUAUACAUAAUCAUUAUAUAAAAAAAAAAUACCUCCUUCCGCUUCGCUGCGCGUUCAGCAGAUCUAAAUGUGGGGGCUGUUCCAACAGUUACAGAUUUAACGGUUCGCACAGAAGCAGCAGUACUACACAUAGCUAAGGACUGCCAAUUGGUAAAAAAAUAUAUAACCAGAAUAUAGCUGGAUAUAAUUUAUAAAAAAGAAUUCAAGCAGUUUUAACUUCAAGGAUUAAAGCACAGUUUUAAAUACUAAAUGUUGCUCAAAUCGGACAGGAUACGAUGAAGCCACAGACCAACUAUCUUCUUCAUCAUGACGCUUUUUGUUAUCAGGUUGCAAUGGCUUCCUUGCUGUAGAAGGUGAAUUUUGCUGAAGGAAAUAGCAUAAUUCCAAAGAUCAGGGCAAUUGUCAAACAAAAAAAAAUGACAAAAAUAGUUUUCUAGUGUGCGUGCGUGCACGUGUGUUGGGAUGUGGUUGGUCAAAUAAUGCAUUCCAGAUGCCAAAAUGAAUUAAACUGCAUGGUUUAUGGUACCACUCAACUUGAAGGUACAACAAAGUGAAUCAUAUAACAAGAGUAUGAUAACAGCAUCCACCAAAUGCAAUGUUGAGAGUUUCAAUUACCUGUGAAUUCUUCAUAGUAGCAGGGGACUGAGCAUUGUUUGAAUUUGUGAAAGUGUUCCUGCCAACACGUUUGUCAGUUGCCAGAGCAAAUGGCUGAGGGACAGUUUGACGGACAUGAGCAUUUCCAACACCACCAGCUUUUAGUGAGGGAGAACUUGAAUUUCUAUCAUCACUUGAUUUUUGAGCUUCAGGUUUCUCAUCUUUCUCAUCAGACACGUCAGCAUCAAAAUUUGUGCUUUUGACACCUAGCACAUCUUGCUUCUCUGAUUCUUCAGCAGUUUCUUUCUCCACAUAUUCCUUUGCUUUGAUGACGCCUUCUGAAAGUUUAGGAGCAAAAUGUACUCUAUCAUGAGAUACACCAUUAAACUUGACAGCAAGACCAUUUGGCUUCUUCUCCAUGUCUGCACACUUAAGUUCCCGCCCCAUCAAACUGCACAAAAAAGAUAGUCUUAAUAUCUUGAUGCUUCACGAAGAAGACAUAUUUUGCUCAAGAAAAAUGUACCACUUCUUUAUAAUAAUACGAAAACAUUAAAUAAAGCAAGAACUAUUUGCAUGUGAUGCCGAAAGGUUUCAAAUUCUUUUAUUGCUUUGAAAUUGCCAAAUGUGUAAAACCCAACCAAGACACCUAAACACUUCUAUCCAUAUCAUAGUGCAGGAAAAAUAUCAUUGUUUAGACGGAAGAAAAGACGGCAUAUCUCAUUGCGAAAACAGUGCUUAUUUAAAGAGUCAAACAGAUAUGGUGAGAGGAAAAAAACAGCAGAAAGUUCGAGCUGGAAAGAGAAGAUCAGCACUAAUUUAUAACACAUCAAAAAAAUAAGUAGAAGAGGAUUGAGACAACCAGUUUAGAACAUGAUAUAAUGUGCAAACAUUCUAUAAUCCAAAAAAAUAUAUGAGAAAUAUAAUUCAAAGAUCCCAAAAAAUUAUGUGAAAAGUGAAAUUCCUUGGUAAAGCUAAAAAAACAUCAGCAAUCUUUAUGCAUUCCUAGUAUGUAUCAUUUAGUUGUCCUACUAGCUUCAUUUUUAGUAUCAGAUCCCAUGCCUUACAGUUCCAAAUGUUUCAUCAACCACCACAUCUACAUUAGGCUAACUUAUUGUAUAACUAAUAAAAAAAAUUAGUUGUCUUUAAAAAGUAAAUAACCUAUUCUUUUCACUGUGUUUCCAUCAAAAUUUUAGAAGGUGAUUAGACUGUAAGAAAAUUAAAGAUCAAACCACAACAAACAGAAGAGUAUUUUAUCCCGACAGAACCAACUCCACAGAUACUUUUGAGAAUCAAAAAACAAAAAUGAAAAGAGCAUGUGUAGAAACAAAAGAAAAAAGUCAAUUGAAGAGGAGGGAAACAAAAUACAGAAGGCGAAAAAAAAAAGAUUAUCAACAAUUUUCUUGGCUUAAAAAAGCAAAAGAAUUUCUCAAGCUAGCUUAAAAAUAAAUCUAAAUCACAAUAAAUAUGGAAAGACCUUUUUAAAAGAGAAAAAAAAUACCACCCAGAAUAAAAAUACCACCACCACCACCAACUUCAUUCGAUAAAAAAAGAAAUCAUCAAGAGCCCAAAAUCCCUACAAUCCUCCCAAACCAAAGAAACGCAUGAAAAUACCUCAUAUAAAUGAAAGAAAGAGAAUAAAAACAGCAACAAGAAGAACAACAAAAACACCAGCAAAAGACCCGUCUUUUUUACUAUCAAAACCAAAACAGAGAGAAUCUCAUAACUUCAAAACCCCCCAUAAAAAUGUGAAAGACAAAAAAUUGCUAAAAUCUCUCCAUUCUAAACAACCAAUAAAACCCCUUAAAAAUCCACUAAAAUUGAAAAAGACAUCAUUUUUCCAUCCCCAAAUAGCAGAAAUCCAAGAGCAAACCUUUUAUGAGAGAGAAAACAUAAAGAAACAAUGACCGAAAAGAUCAAAGAAACAACCUUUUUAGAUCAAGCUACAUUGUUUUUUUGUUUACAAAAACAAAAACAGAUACACAUGACACAAACCCGAAAUAAACAGCCAGAAUGUAAUAAGAUUUCUUACAACUCAGGUCCGAUCUGGGAAGAUCUUGAGCUCCCCCUCCUCUCUCUCUCUCCCUCUCCCUUCCUCUCUAAAAAUAUAAACAAAGCCAAAAUGUUUUCUGUGAUUUUGCUUUUUUAACAGCUAAGGAAGGUUUUUGUUGUGAUAGCUUUUUUUUAAUGUUGAAAUGUUGGAUUUUUAUACAUGUUACUUGACGGCUUGGUUACAUUUUCUGUGAUCUUAUUUGAAAAUGGAAAGAGAGAGAGAGAUAAACGGAUAAUGUGAUUUUUUUUUAUUACUAUUAAUGCGGUUGCACGUAUCUUGAUUAAUUCUAUGAAUCCUAAAAUUAACGAUUAUAUAAGCCUCCAGUGGUCCUGAGAUUUGUGAAACUCAAACUAUUGAUCUUUAAAGAACAAAUUUAGAACCUGACCAGUUAAGUUAGGAUUGGAUAAUGUGAUCUUAAUAUAUUUUCUCCGUGUUCUUAGUAAACGUAAACUUUAUAUAAAUGAAUUAUUAUACUACAAAUUAGGUCUUUAAAUAAUAUUUUUAUUAUUUAUAACUGAUAAAUGUAAUUGAUGUUAUUGUUGUUGUUGUUCAUGGAUAGAUUAUUUUAAAUUAUUAGUAAGGAUUAUUUUGUUAAAAUACUGUAUGUGCUUAAAAAAACCUUAUAGUACUGGUCAAAAUUUAAGAUGUUCUCAUAUAUAUAUAUAUAUAUAUAUAUAUAUAUAUAUAUAUAUAUAUAUAUAUAUAUAUAUAGUUGUAAUUAAUAUUAUUAAAAUUUUAUACAUGUUAUAAAAAAAACCAUUAAUUUUAUUGUGUGAAUAUAUAUAUACACCGUGCAAUUUAAACUCAUAUAAUUCUAACUUUAAAUAAAUAACUUAAUCGAUGGUAUUAUAUUUAAAAUUAUAUGUAUACGAUGUUUUUUUUUUCACGAGAAAUAGAAUGGAGAAUUCAAGUUCACGUGAACUAUUUCAAGCCUCCUAAUAAUAUUUUUCUUUAAAAAAAUAAAAAAAAAAAGAAUUGACAAAAUUUCAAUACUCGGGCCCUAAAUUGAAAAUGUCUUAAAUCAUGAGUAAAAUGAUGUGGUAUAAACGGCGUUAAAUGACGGUAGUAUUGAGCCGACGUGGUAGUGGCGACACCUGCGCCAAAAAGUCCAAAGACCGCAGUACGAAUCUUAUUCAAAGAUUUUCGAUGUCUUUUUUUUUUUUGUAUUUACUUUUUUCUUUUUUUAAUCUAUUUCCUCUGUUCAAACAUGUUACACUGACCUCAGACUUUUUUCAAGGGCUGUUUGUCGGAGAUUCUUCUCCAAGGAUAAUAAUUUGCCCGAUUUACCUUUUUACCCCUCUUCAUUUUGAGUCUCUUUUUUUUGUUUUUUUUUUUCGUUUUCUUUGACUAUUAUUAUAUUUCAUCAUGCCGAGUGGUACAAGAAGCUUAUUUCUUCUCUUGGUUUUUUUAAUCAAAUCUUGAGACAUUCUCCGAGGUUGUAAUGAUAUUUCAAAUUAGUUUUUGUAUAUUUAUGAAGUUAUUUCUUUAUCGAUGCAUUUAAAAUGAUUUUUUCAGGGCUUUUUUACAGAUUUUGUUUAAAUUGAACCCACAAUAACAUGCGAGAAAAAAACCCAAAUGAUAUUAUAUUAUUAAAAACAAUUUCCUUUUGUUUUUGUUUUAAAGUUGAACUCGUAUUUUUCAUGGCAGUGCAUGCACGUACUACAAUUACUCUUAAUUAACUAGAUGCCCUUAUUCAAGGGUGCAAGUCGUAUAGUUUAAUGCUGGUAAUUACGAUCAUGGAUUCUUCAUUCAGUGUUGGCGGCACCCGUCUAUCAAUGGAAGAAUACAUAGUUUUCAUGGCAGGUUGCUGGAUUCAAUUCGAGAAGGUUGGAGGGUGCCUUUGAAUGAAGAAGAUGGUGCCUUUGAAUGUCUCUUGGGGGGUGUUAAUUUCUGCUCUUGCUUGACCUAAUUCACACAACCCACUUUUUAACCUAAUUUGUACUCUUGUUUCAAAAGUAUAAUGCAGCCUGAAACUGGAAAGCAGAAACAUAAAAGGAUACGUCAAUAUAAUUUGUUAGAGCAUUUACAUUCAUACUCUUUAAUUUUUAGUUAGGUAUUAGCUAAAUUACCUAAAAUCAUACUUGACAAGCUCUCUAAAAAAAAACAUUAUCGCAUCCAUGCUAUUUUAACGGAUUGUAUUGUUAUUUUUUUUUAUGUAUAUAUCGGUUAUUUUACGUGUUAGUCUUCUUCAAUUUAUUAUUAUAUUGGUAUUUUUAUUUAGAGGUUAUUUGUUUUUACAAUACAGCCGCAUUUCUAAAAAAUCUUAAAUUUUUUUCUUUAAAUUAUUCUUUUUACGUGUUUAAUAAUAAGAUAAACACCACCUUAUAACGAGUACACUAUAAUUUUUAAGUUAGUUAUUGUAAUGUGAUGGGGUUUUUUUGUGACACUUCGAAUGUUGCAAAGCCAAAGAAAGGCUAUAAUUAAAAUUUUGUUUUUAAAUGCACUAAAUGGAGGAAUUUGUCUACUUAUGCUGCAAAGCCAAAGAAAGGCGAUUAAUUAGCAUUGCCAACUUUGAUGAAUCCCAUGGGGCGCUACAAAUAUUGAAUUAAAUGUAGUCUAUUCAAGUGGUUAAUUACUAUCUUUAAUUAAGAGAUGUAUCAUCUGGUGGUUAAUAAUAUUUAUUUCCUCCAUUCCAAUAUUAAUAGUAAUUUAUUCUCUUAAUUAAAUACUUCAUAUAUAUAUAUAUAUAUAGUCAACGUACGAACUUAGUCUAUGAAGAAAAUUUAAACUUCAUUGACGUAAAAACUUGCCUGAAGAUAAAUUUGACGGUCGAACUAAACAAAGCUGAAACAUUUAACUAGUCCAUCUAUAUAUCUAGCAUUGAAUUUCUCAAAAUUUAAUUAUUCUUCCAUUGAUAUUAAAUGGCAUUGAAGCAUGGCGGUAGCUCUGCUGGCAAUAAUUAAACGGUAAAAAGACAAUUAAAAAGAGAGAAUAUAUAUAGUUUGGAUCUUAUUAUUUGUAUUUUCCGACCCAUUUAUAAGUAUAUUAUCAAUUAAAAAUCAUGAAUCGAUGGGCUCUCUCUUGAGAGUUAUCAUUUGCGUUGUUGAUAAUAUUAAAAAAAAAGAGGCAUAGAACACAAAAUCCACUAUCAAUGUUAGGUCAAACUAUUUUUUUUCAAUUUUGAUAAAAUGCAGGUCAAACUAAGUCGGUCAAGUACUCUCAUGGGAUUUCAAAAAGAAUCUCUGUGAAUUGUCUCAUAGAUUCUAAGAAGACACAUCUCCUGAUCUUUCUGCCUGGCUGCUGGUAAAAGAGAGAAAAUAAAGCCUUCUCUCCUUCCUCAAAGUAAUAAAAUGCAUGCAGCUCGCGCAGAGUUUCGAGCACCAAAUUAAUACGUAGCUCACGUCUCGCCUUCAAGAGAAGAAGAAAAACAUAUAAAUUAACUUGAAGGCGUAUAAUUAAGUUUUAAAUUUAUUUUUUAGAGAUUAUCAGUUCGAGUCUUAUAAAUUUUAAGAUCACUAAAGGCUUACAUGGUCGUUAAUUUCAGAACUUGUGAAAUUAAUCGAGGCGAAUGCAAGUUGAUCCAAGAACCCAUAUAAAAAAAAACCCAUGAAUUAACAUAUUUUUCUAGCUAGCUUGGCAAUUUAUAGAUAUCACGUAUAUUAACUUUGGCUGGCAUAGGAAUCGUGACAGUAUUUACAUUUCUGUCGUACUAUAACAUAUAAAGAUAGGGCUGGCUUCUAUGCACAUGAGCUUCACGUGUAACAGUGUCGUGGCCUCGUAAAGAUGCCUGGACGCAUCCAGCACUCGAUCUGGUAAAAAAAACACUGUAAUUUUAUAUUUGAUUAUUAAAUCAGGCUUAAGAUUUGUCCGUUGAUUCUACGAACAUGGAUAUAUAAAAAAGUCACUUAUUGGCAACAAUAAGACAAGGUCCGGAAGACCCUUUAAUUGAUCAUAAAAGAUGUUGUUUAUUUUCUGUUUUAAUUAUUUUUCCUUUUUAAAUCUGGAUUUAAAAUAUUUAGACCUCAAACCAACACCAUCAAUAAUCUUAACUACCAACAUGCACCCCAGGGUAAAAUAGCGACUUGAAAUAAAUUCAGAAUGGUGUUGUAUAUUAAAAAAAAAACAAAAUUAUAAAAAUAAUUUAAAAUAUUUAGAUCUCCAACCAGCACCAUUAACAAUCUUAACUACCAACAUGCACCCCAGGAUAAAAUUGCGACUUCUAAUAAAUUAUGUAUAGUAAAAUUGAUUUAAAAUCAUAAAAAAUAAUUUAAAACAAAAACAAUUUUAAAAAUUUUAAAAACGUUUUUUUAACAUAAAAACAAGAACACAUGUACAGUUUGCGAACACGAUGCAAAUUGCGUUCCAUAAAAAUUUUAAAUUUUUUUUGCUACAAAUUAUUAUUUUUUUAUAUGUUUUGGAUCGUUUUGAUGUGGUUAUCUUAAAAAUUAUUUUUAAAAAAUAAAAAAAUAUCAUUUUAAUACAAAAAACACUUUAAAAAACAACCGCAACCACACUAAUGCCUUAGUUAAAUUUUUCCAUCACUUCAAUCAUCACACAAAGAAAAUUGGAUUGAGAAUAAAUAAAUGUAAAGUAAUACAAACCAUAAAUCGUGUUUACUUGUGUGGCAGACAACUUGCCCAUUCUAUUCAAGGCAUUGUUUAGAAGUUUCUUGACUAGCUCGUGGUUUGAUUGGAAAUAUUCCGUAACCAAAUUAAACUGCCAUUUGAAAUGGAUUGAACUUUUGCCCUACUCUUUUUGAAUAUUCCCACCUUCCAUGCUUCAAAAAGUCAAAAAGAUUCAACCACGGUGCCUCUCUUUCUUUGGAAAAAUUUCCCUCCGACCUUAUAAUAUACUUUUUCUCCUAUGUCUUAUCCUAGGAAUAACAUUGUCUUGCCCGUAUAUAAAAAGUAAUUUUUUUAAAAAAAUAUCCACCGGUCAGUUAUGGCAAUGUUUACCAUAACUAUUUAACUAUAUUUUUUAUUUUUAAAAAAAAAUUAAAUUGAUUUUUUUAAUAUGUUGAUGUUAAAAAUAAAAAAAUAUUAUUUUAAUAUAUUUUUAAAUAAAAAAUACGUUGAAAAAUAACUUUUAUCAUCUUUGAAAGAGGUCGAUAUUUUGUUUAAAAUGGUAAAUAGCUAGUUGAUAAAUGUUAAAUAACCAUCUCAACCCAAUAGCUUAAGCUGUUAGGUGAGGUUUUAGGAUAUGAUUUAUAUUAUUCUCUAACACACCCCCUCAAAUAAAGGAUCUUUGAGCUUGAAACUUGCACAAGCACACAAUACCAUGUGCUUAAUUUUUAUCAAAUAAAUGAGGAUGGUGAGAUUUGAACUCGUGAUUGCUUGGUCAUCAAGGCUAUGAUACAAUGUUAAAGAACAAUCUUAACGCAAUAGCUUAAACUAUUAGUUGAUGUUUUAGAAUAUAAUUUAUAUUAUUAUUAUUCUCUGACAAUAAAAAAAAACCGACUAAAAAAAUUAAACCUCAACUGAUUUGUGUACCUUUCAGGAGAAGAGAGUUGGGUGCUUUUUUUGAAAUUUGUAAGCAUCUCCUUAAAGAGGAUAUAUGGUCCCGUUUUCCUUUCAUCUUCACAGAUUGGGGACCAAAUUAUGUCUAUCACUCCUUCCUCACGGCCUGCCAAUGGCAAGGUAUGUUCAUGGCACGGACGUGUAAGGAGCGAUUGGCGGCAAAAAAAUUUGAUUAGGAAAAGAGAAGGCUGUUUAAUGUACGUGUAGGUCCAUGCCCCCCUUUAUGCCUCAUUCUUGUGCCCUUCCUUCAAGGAAGAGGUGAGAGUGGGUCUCAUGGAGUUAGCCACUUGGUGUUGACCAAAUUCAAACGAGGUUCAAUAAUAUAUGAAUAUAAAUAAUCUUGGUGCUAUUUAUGCAAAUUAUGAUUUCGAAUAAGUGGGAGGGAUUAAUGGUAUAUUUACAUUUCAAUGAGAAAUAAUUUAAUUAAUCCAUUAAAAAUUGGUGACACUUCACCCCCACAUAUUUUCAACAUUAAAUUAAUUAUAUGAAUUAAAGUUUGAUUUUAUUUUUAUAUAUAUAAAAAAAAACACACAAACCAUACAAAUAGGUUGACUAUUUACACAUGAAUAAGGUUGUUUGAUUAAAGAUUUAGAGAAUCAAAUUAAGCGAAACCUCUAGUUGAUUUCAUCGUUUGAUAUUGUAUUUUAAAUGACAAUUAAGUAAAAUUUUAAAAAAUAUUUUUACUUAAAAUUAAUUUUUUAAUAUUUUUUUGAUCAUUUUGAUGUAUUAUCAAUAAGAUUUUAAAAAAUUAAUAAAAAAUAUUAUUUUAAUAUAUCUUCAAAUUAAAAAUAUUUUAAAAAACAAUUAUUAUUAUUAUUAUUAUAAUUUCAAAUACCAUAUUCGUCUUCGAAGUUGAACACAUUGGUUUUCCAAAUUUUUGUUUGCUUAAGGUAAAUCACACAUGGAAACGAAAAUCUCGACAUCAUAACAUCUUGGAGGUCGAAAGAUGGUGGGAAUCCAUGGCCGGCUUAGGAAUCGAGUCAAGGUGUGACGCGAACCUAACCCACCAAUUGACAUCUGUGGUGCACUGUUUUUUAGCUAAAUUAAUCAAAGACUUUGCUUAAUUAAUCUCUCACGCACACAAACAGCACUAUUGACUUUUGUUGGCUUAAAGAUAGUAAUUACUAACUAGGAUGAGAUUAUUGACUUUUAAGUGUUUAAUUAAUGGCUACAGUCAAAAGUGACCUCUCAAUUAGCUGUCCAGGCCAAUCACAAGACUUCAAACAAGAUUAAUCUUUUUCAUAUUAUAGUUUUUAAACAUUCACUCGUGUUUUUUCGAUAUAUUAUUUAAAAAUAUUAAGAGGUUGUUUAAUGUUUUUUAAAAUAAUUUUUUGUUUAAAAAUAUAUUAAAAUAAUAUUUUUAAAAAUUUAUUUUAGAUAUUAGCACAUCAAAUCAAAACGAUAUAUAUAAAAAUAAUUUUGAAUAAAAAAAUUUAAAUUAAAUAAAAAAAAAACAGUUUUAGAUAGAGUAAGGGAGCGUUUGGCUCUGCUGUUCAACCUGCUUUUCGGCGAAUUUCAAAAUUUUUUUUUUUUUUUUUUUGCUAAAAUUGAGUGCGGUUUGUAUCUUUUGGAUCGUUUUGAUGUGCUGAUAUCAAAAAUGAUUUUUAAAAAAUAAAAAAAAUCAUUGGCAUGUAUUUCGGCACGAAAAGCUAAAUUAAAUAAAAAAAAAAAACAGUUUUAGAUAGAGUUAAUCAACGGCAGUCCCUUCCAAGGAGUCUAAUCUCAACCACACAUGUUUCUUGGUAGCUAGCCGUAAGCUGACUCGGUUAUUGCUUGCGUGAUGAAGAAGGUGGGACUAAUGAAUGAACUGUACGUCAUGAAAAUGGCCACCCACUUCGGGUCGUUGGCUGAUCCUGCGAGGUUAGGGUCCCCUUUAUGAAUAUAAUAUGUACACUUUUGUUUUUGGGUAAUUACUACGUUGAAAAUUAUAACAGUUGAUUUAUUAUAAUAUAUAGUUUUUGAACUAGUUUUUUUUCUUUAAAAAAAAAAACUCUAAAGGAUUGGUCCGGUAAUUCAAGAGAUAUGUUUCUUUUCUAGAGUUUUGAAUCCAAACCUUGAGAUAAACACUCGUAAGAGUUUUUUUUAAAUAGAUCACAUCAGAGUGAGCGGUGUGAUAUUAAAAAAAAUCAAAAGAACAUCAUCAUGAGAAAAUAAAUUUGAUUUUAAAAAUUAUUUUAAAUUUUUUAAAAAAUAAUAAAAAUAUAAAGAUUAAAUUUAAUAUAUAACAGAAACUAAAAGAGGAUGAAAUUAAAAAAAAAUUUAAUUUUAUAAAAAAUUUCAAAUAAAAUAUAUAAUAAUCAAAAUAAUGUAUUACUCUCGAUAAUAAGUUAAUAAAUUUUGUUUGAGAAAAACAAUAUGAUCAUUACACUGUUCAAAUUCAUAGCCCCGAUGAUUCAUUAAUCCUUUUGGUUUUUUUUUCUUUUUAAUAGCAAAACGAUAUGUUUUUUAUUGUAAUAGCAGUUACGAUUCAAAGUAUUUUUUAUUUAAAAAUAUAUAAAACAUAAAAUAAUAUUAUCAACACAUUAAAACGAUUUUAACACAUCAAAACAAUCUGUCUUCGUAUGGGUUUUUCUUUACGAGUUCGAACUUGCGAAAUCAACAUGACCAAGCAUUGCCUCAAAAGACUUCAGUAAACCUAUUCAAUUGCUUGGUAGCAUUAUCUCAAGAACUUAAAGUGCGAAUUAUACAGCAAGACAUUUUCCUCUCCGUCGUUCAAAAUUGAAAAAACUACACGAAGGUGACUGUCCUCGAUCCCACCUAGAACUUGAUGUUGGGCCAUCUCUGCAAUGUACAAGAAGGGAGCAUCUCUCUCUAUAAAUCCAUGGCUGAUAUUGUCUCUAGUGAAGACCAAGAUUGGGAUAAGCACAAGAUGAGUGCACACAAAGACUACGUUCCUAAUGGAAUAAUUUAAGUGCGAGGCUUCGAUCAACUUUGUUUUUCAUAAUUGACAAGCAUGACAAGCAUCUUAAUUACUUUUUUUCUACUUGGCGUUCAUGGACGAAAAAGAUCAGGUAAUUAAGGCUCCCAAAUUAUGGUAUUAGUUAAUUAAUUUUGGAUUUUAAUUACUUUUUUUCUACUUGGCUUGAGGUUAAUAUUUUGGUUAGGUCGGUUUCUUACCUCUGCGGAAACAGUUGGUGUGUUGUCGUAUUUUUCAUCAUAUUAUUGUCUUUAAUGGAUAUUAAUUAAUAUUGGAUAGAGGAUAAGCAUAAGAUGAGUCAAGAUCAGGCACACAAAGAACACCUCAUGGAAUAAUUUCAUCGUGAGGCUUCUAUCAACUUUGUUUUUCACAAUUUAUAAAGGGAUAAGUAUCUCUUUCCGACGUGAUACAUCUUACGAAUAUAUUUAUAAACUAGACAAAUAACACAAGAUUCAUAAAUUUUUUUUUUACACAUAUCAAAUAUGGAGUUUGAUUAAGAUUUAUGAUCAUUGGUUUUAGUUUAAAUUUUAUCAAAUUACUCUACAUGUCUAGUUUCAUAAAAGGUUUGCUUGCUAUAACAAGUUGAGUUGUAAAAGAUUUUUAGAGGGUGUUUGGAAGUGUAGGCUCGGUUGCUUUUCAAAGUGUUUUUUAUUUCAAAACAUAUUAAAAUAAUAUAUUUUAAAAAAAAAUUAUUUUUAACAUCAGUACAUCAAAAUAAUAUGAAAACAUCAAAAAUAUAUUAAUUUAAAACAAAAAAUAAAAAAAUAAUUGUGUUCAUAAAAAGUUUAUAUACAUGGCUCGUGUGAACCGAGAAAUACAUAAAAUGAUAUGCUAAGAUAUGAUUGGAUAGACUGGGUUGAUAUCAGUAUCACAUUGAAAAUUUUGGCCAACUUAGACAAUACUAAGGGGCUGGAAAAAUUCCAACCAUUUGGGCUUCCCAAAUGGCUGGAAUUUUUUAUUUUUAUUAUUUUUGGGUAUUAUCAUUAAUAUUAAUUAACAAAACAUUAAAUGAUAUGACUUAAUCACUGUAGUCACGUUCAGGAAAUACUAUUUACUAAAAUAAUAUUUUGUUUUUCCAUUUUUUUUUUCAUCAACGGCCAACACAUGGAAAUAUAGUUAAGACUCGAUACAAAAUUUGAAGUGUUUGGAAACACGGUACAAAUCAUAUUCCCUCAAGUUUCAAAAAUUUUUAUUUUUUAUUUUACUUUAAAUUAAUAUUUUUUUAGUGUUUUAGAUUGUUUUGAUAUGCUUAAAUUAAAAAUAAUUUUCAAAAAAUAAAAAAAAAAUAUUAUUUUGAUGCAUUUUCAAAUGAAAAACACUUUCAAAAGCAACCGCAACCAAAUUUUCAAAUACCCUCUUAAGUUGGAGGUUAGCCACGUUAACCCGAAUUAACUAAUUUUUUAAAAAUUUAUCUUUUAAAUUAAAAUAAUAUCAUUUUUAUGUUUUUUUCAAAAAAACAAAAACAUCCUAAACAACUUAGAAGUUGAAGUUUUCAAACUUGGAGGGUCGGUCUCAAUUUAUGCCUACCAAAAGAGGCUAAAUCAAGAUCUCGUUCCGGCUCUACUACCGGGGGAUGGGAUCCAAUUCCGAGAUCAAUACGACAAUGAAACUCUUGAAGCAAUGAUCUUAUCCAGAGCUAUGCAGGGAAGCUACUGCCAUCCUCUGUUUUUGGCACGUUGGGCUCUAUUUCAGACGUUUCCCAUGUCAUUGGAUUCCUCAUUGGCCACCAAGUUGCAUGUCAUAUCCACGCAGUUAGGCAGGUCUUGUCUGGGUUUUCCUCUGUUUUCAUAGGAUUUUUGUUAUUUUUACCAUAUUGGCUUCUGUUCUUACCGACCAAGCCUCUGUAGAACUAUUCCAGCAUUUUAUUUUUUUUUGGUGUUGAAACGUGGUAUAUUCUGUGUUUUUAAAAUUUUUAAUUUUUUUAAUUUAAAGUUAAUUUUUUUUUAAUGAUUUAGAAUCGAUUUGAUAAGCUAAUAUAAAAAAUAAUUUUAAAAAAUAUUAUUUUAAUACAAUUUUAAAUAAAAAAUACUUUAAAAAACUACUGUAAUCGGACUCUCAAACACACCAUAAUUUUUCCUGGCCUCUGUUUCUUCCAACCCUACCAUUUGUUGUGGCUGGAUUCAAGUCACACUAAUGGCUCAUGGCAUGGUUUUUUCAACAUAUAAGACUAUUUGUGCCGUGUGCUAGUCCAAUCUAUCAUAUUUCAAGGAAACUUGUUAUUCAAUUUGAACUUUCUUCUUCAUCACUAUUAAUUCCUUUUAUAAGUAUAUGAUAAUAUGAAAUUUUUAAAGUGUUUUUUAUUUGAAAAUAUAUUAAAAUAAUAUUUUUUAUUUUUUAAAAUUAUUUUUUAUAUUAGCACAUCAAAAUAAUUUGAAAAUACCAAAAAAAUAUUAAUUUGAAGAAAAAAUAAAAAAAUAUUUUUUUAAAAAAUACUUUUAAAAUACAAAAAUAAAUCGAUGAUAAUACAUAAUAUAGAGUUUUUGAAUUCCUCGUAUGACCAGUAUAAUUCAAGAAAAAAAAUGAUAAAUACAGUGCGCAUGUCACAGCAUGGUAUAGUUUACUAUAGCUAAUAGGGACCGAGACCAGAAAAUUAGUUAAUUAAAUCCUCAAUUUCGACGCUUCAAGGUGUUCUCAUUUAUAUAUCAUAUCAGAUCUGUUUCAUUUUCUAACUUCAAUUCUGUCAUAUUCAUUAUGAAAUUUAAUAAAUUUAAAAAUAAUUACUUCUAGUUUCAUGUAUAUCCUCUUGCCUUGUACCAUAGGUUAUAUAUAUAAAAAACCUUUAGGUUUAAGAGUCAAAGAUCUUGUACCAUAGGUUAUAAAAAGUUCAAGUUUAAGAAAAAAUUUUAGAUCCAUUUUUAUUUUAGGUCAACUUGCUUAAUCAUCAAAUGAGAUCAAAACACAUACCCAAAUUAAGCCCAAUUAAUGUUACUUUGGAAUUUUUAUUAUUUUUCUAGUUAGUUUUUAAUUUAAUUUAUAAUUUUCCUUGUUAUUUUAGAUUUUCUUCCUUUAUUUGAAACUUAUUUAAAUAGUUUAUUAAUUAUUUUCAUAACCGUUUUCAAUUUAAUAUUCUUUGUUAACUUUUUCCUAGUCAUGUAAAGUGUUGUAAAUUUAUAAAAUUCAAAAUAUUUUAUGUAAUUUUUAAAAUAAUAAGGAUAAAUUAUAAAAUAAAAUAAAAUAAAUCAUAUAAUACGUAGAGUGAUUUUUCCGUCAUUAAAACAUAUUUUUCUCUUUGUAGCUAUUAGGACAAAAGAAAUCCUAUUUUUUUUACUCGAGGCUGCGUUCCUAACCUAUCAUGCCUACGGAAUUGUUUCUUUUUGUUGUUUUAUGGGCUGGGUUUGGAACACCAAAGGAUCCAUCAUUGAGUCUCUUGUUCUGGUGUUUCUUUUUGUUUAUUAAUGAAUAUCGGCUUAUAAAAAAAUAAAAAAAAAAUCCCAAACUACAUAUAUAUUAAUAAUGAAAUAGCUUGUUUACAUCAUGGCCUUUUGUUUAUUAUUGAAUAUCGGCUUAUAAAAAAAUAAAUAUAUCCCAAACUAUAUAUAUAAUGAAAUAGCUUGUUUACAUCAUGGCCUAAAGCAUAUCAAAAUCACUCUUGUUAGGACUUUGAAAUCGAUACAUUCAUGCUUAACUUGCUCGUACCUCGACUAAUCUCACAAGUCCUGAAGUUAACGAUUAUGUAAGUCUUCAGUAACCUGAAGUUUGCGGAACUCGAACUAGUGAUUUAUAGAAAACAAAUCUAAAACCUAAUAAGUUAAGCGACCAGUUGAGCCACACUUUUUUAUUAUUAAAAUAGAUUAAGCAAGAGAGAGAUUAAUCAAUCCUUUUUAAGUGUGAAAGCAUUAAAACCAAUUCCUAGAAGACAAAAACUAGCUGUUCAUUUAAAAGCUUUUACAAUAUUAUGAGAAUUUUUAAAGGAUGUAUGGGAGUAUGAAAACGGUUGUUUUUUGAUUUUAAAAAAUUAAAAUAAUAUUAUUUUAUAUCAGUACAUUAAAACUAUUUAAAAAUACUAAAAAUAAUUUAAAAUAAACAAUUUAAAUUUUAAUAAAAAAUAAAUUGAAAAUCACUCCGACAGCAUUGUCCCCUCAGCUUUUGCUGGGUGAAUAUGUUAAACCAAGACUAAAUGGGAGGAAGACAAUGACCAUUCAUGAGAUACGACUGUCCCCAUUUUUAUUAUAGUCAAAUGGCACCCUCGUGCACCGACAAUUUAUUUCACGUGUGAUGAUCAUCCAUGGAAUUAUCGAAUUUGUUCACAAAAAGGGACCUUCUCUUGCUCACCAGAUCCUUCUCUGUGGCUCGAUUGGGACGAUGAACUCGAUCUGCAAUUUUUUAAUCACAAAUCCAUGUGUGGGGCUUCAAGAACAUAUGCAAUUGAAGAAUUACAACUAUUGUAGCACAAAGUGAUAAAUCUUGAGCCCCAAAGUGAUAACAAACUGGGCUUAAUCAAGGCCUAGCCUGGCCCAAUUUGAAAAUCAAUAUGUUAUAACGAAUUUGGUCCAAUCUCAAUCUUUUUGUUUUUGUUUUUUUUGACAAAUAUAAGGAAAAUGGUUUUGAAGGAUCCAAAUCCAAAAUCCAAUUUGAUAGAGUACACAUAUCGUCAUAGCUUAUAUUAAUUAGCUAGAAUUAGCCAGGGAUGCAUAGUUAUGGUUUUUAAUAGUAAUAUUAUCUUAAGAACCUAAAAGAUGAUGUUUACGUUUUCUAAAACAAAUUGGAAAAAUAUUAACUUAUAAAUUGCAAUGAGAGUUUUAUGAAUUAGCCGGACUCUACGGUCCAAUCCCAACUAACUCCAAUGACUCAUAAAAGUCAAUUUUAACCCCAAUAUGUGAUUUAUUCAUUUAUAGUGUCGUACGCGUGUGGUGUUGCGAUGAUCUUCUUCUUGUACCAGUUUUUUAGUGUGGAAAAAAUAAUGAAUUUUUAUCCUUUUAUGGUUUAAACAUUUAGAGUCACCACCUAUUAUUUUAUUGGAAAAUAAUCCUUCAAAAAUCUAAAAAUUAAACUAAUGUGUGUUUGGCAAAACACAAAAAAGAAAAAAAAAAAAGUAGGGUUGUGAUAAAUGUUGCCUAUUUUAAUCAAGAUAUCAACUCAAAACUUACCAUUUUUUCAUAAUUCAUCAACUCAAUAUCAAACAACACCAAAAAUCAAUCCAAGUCUUGUUAAUUUCACGAACUACAUUCAAAUCUCAUGCUAAUUCAAACAAAUCAAAAUACAUCCAAGCAUAAUUAAUGAAUCAAGAUUUAAUGCUCAAUUAGAAAUCACAUCUCUAAGAUAAACUCACAAUUCAUCACAAGAUUAUCAAAUCAUCUCAAAUAAAAACACACAACAAUCCAAAUCAACAAUGUCCAAUCAAUCCAAAAAUUAUGCACACAACAAUGAGCAUUUUGUCUCAAAUUUCAUAACAUUUUAAUAAUUUCUCAAAAAGCAAUUUGAGAUUACGGAUUAACCUUCCAAGGUGAUUGGCAUGCCCAAUAUAUAUUGAAAUCAAGUUGAAAGGGCUGUUGGAAAUGUAGUAAAGAGGUUGAAAAGUUCUCUAGAACAAUGGUGGCUCGUGUAUCAUGCCAUGUCAUCACUGUUGGAAGAAGGUGACCUAGUGGGUCCGAAGCUCCUCUAUAUCCUUUUCACUUAUGGACCAGUAAUGCUCCUUCACGCUCUCCAAUAAAAAAGAUCAAGACACUUUAAGUUUUGACUUUCUUUUUUUUCCUCCUCUGCUCAACUCUUUUUAUUAAUUAUUGGCUAGUUAUUGUUGUUGUUGUCGUCGUCACUACUGCUGGUUGCUCAGUAUGGUAGUUGGAUUUGGUAGUGAGUUAGAGGGUGACUUGUGUUUAUGUGUGGAUGAAAGAUUGUAGUCUUUGUUUUAUGGAUGGAAGAGCUGCAAGUUUUGAUCAGAAACGAAGUGAAGGAAUGUGGUUCACGGUGGCUAUUGAUUCUUGGGUCACCGUAAGGCAAGAUGGUUGAUUUUUGAUGGGUCAGGCGAGAAGAGACAACAUUAUCAUUUUAGUGGAAGAAUAUAGAAGGUCAUAGGGAGGUGGACAAAUACCUGGAAGAUGAAGAGUAACCCAGAACAAAAAGAGUCACCGGUAGGAAGAAGAGGUGUUGCUGGAAACUAUUCCGACAACUAUGAAGAAAAAAGGAGAUGUCAAUGGCCUUUUUUUGGUUUUUUAAAUGCAAGGGAUGAAGAUUUUUAGGUUUUUUUUUUUAUGUAUCUAUGCUAAGUGUGAGUUGAGAAAGAAAAGACGAGUGGUUUUUGUGUAUGUUUCUUAUGUAUGGAGGCUAUCGUGAUGAUGGAUGAAGGAUUGUCUAUUUUUGGUAAAAUUGGUGGCUAUAUUGUAAAAGAAAGGUGUAUGGUGUUUUUUUAUGUGUGAGACAAAGACAAUUUUCUAUUUUUUCUAGUAUAUUUUUUAGUGAAUCCUCUCUGGGUUAUUUUUUUCUGGAUAAUGCCCCCCUGUCCUAGAUUUUUUUAUUAUUUAUAGGCAAUGUAAUUUUGUCUCUUCCUUCUAAUUCCUCAGUUUUCAAGCAACUAAAAUUCAUUUUGAUCCUUUAUUUUCUUGAUUUGUGCCUCUGGUCCUUUUUUCUUCUUAAUUUUUCUCAUUACUUCUUUUGGUAUUUUAAUUUUUUGAAAAAGACAAUGUUAAUAUCAACUUAAUGAGAAAAUAUAAUCAAAGAUUUUGAAAUGAACGUGUAAAUAGCUGAAAUAAAUAAUUUUUUGAGUUUCGUAUUCUUUUGAUAAGACGUUGAAAUUGACAAAAUUGACGCAAAUACAUCAAAAAUAUAUAUUUUUUAUUUUUUCACUAUUUUUUUUUUGAAAAAAUAUUUUGAAAGUGUAAAAAAUUGGGUUAUGAUAUAUAGCACAAUUUAUAAUUUAUUUGUUCAAUUUUGACUGAUGAUGAACAUAUAUUUAUUUGCAUGUUGUUUUGAAUUAAUAUGUGAACCCAAUCAAAGAAAACAAUUCAAACCCAAGUCUCUCUUGAUUAUUGUUUCAAAUCUCAUAACCUAAAAAGUGAGGAUUAGGUUAUUGUCAAGUAUAAAUCUCAAAUCACUACUCUAGAAAAAUUUACCUCUAAUAAAUAAAAGCAUUUAGUUUAAAAGAAAUAUUAGCAUGUAGGUACAAUAUAUAUUUUUAUCAUAAAAUUAAAUAACAGCACAACCUACCCUGAAUAUUAUAUUUUAGAGUGAUUUUCUUUUUCUUUUAACAUAACUAUAGCCUUACCUAAAAUUCUCUGAAAACCAAUUAGGAUGUUUAGUUACCAUAAGAUCAAGUGACGAUUCUUAUUCUUAAUUUUUAUCUCUUUUCACACUUAGUCGAGAUGUCCCCAUGAAAAUUUUUUUUUAUUACAAAAACAUGUCUUUUUUUUUCCAGAAGUAAUACCUUUUGAAUUAAAAAAUAUCCUAUUUUUUUUAAUAAAAAAAUUGAAUGAAAAAAGAAAGAAAAAUAAUAAAUCAAUGAUUUCAAUGAGAAAUGUAAAAAAAUACAAAAUUUGAGAAAAACCAUAUAUAAUUUAUAAUAAAAAAUAAUUAAUAGAUGUUUUAUCUAUAUUAAAUAUUUGUAAAGAUAUUUUUUAAAAUUAAGUAUAUUAUUUUCAUAUAUAAUUAUUUAAAAAUCUAAUUGUCAAUAUUACCAUAAAAGCUAUAAUAUUAUUUAAAGACCAAGGCAUAAUCAAAUAAUUAAUUAAAUAUGAUUUGAAUAAAUUUAUUUAAAGUCAAUCCUAUUAUAAAAUUUAAGAAAAACAUUAGGGCAUUUAAAAAAUUCUGACCAACUAAUUCUGAUCAGCUAACCGACUCGUAACAUUAAUAUCUCAAGUUUUUUUUACUUAUUUUCACCUAUAAUAUCUACAUUAUUUGCCUUUAAUAUGUUGGGUCAGAUUAAAUAAUAUAAACAUUAACAAAUUUUUUUUAACAUCAAUAGUUAAUGUUAAUUAUCCAAAAGAAUAUAUAUAUCAAUAAAUAAAAAGAAGGGAUUAACGAGAAGCACUAAUACAGAAGCCUGCUUUUUCUGUGUUUACCAUGUCAAGAACCGCUAAAAACCCAACAAAUGUCAGAAUCCUCAAUAGCCACAGACCCAAAAUUCACGCCCCUUUAUUUAUAACGGUUUUCCUCUCCCCCUUGACAUUCCACCACCCAACUUUCCCGCUCUAUAAACAACACAACAAACAUUACUUUUACAAGACCAGAAGGAGAAGAACAAGAAGAAGAAGAAGGUCAUCGAUCCAAAGAAAGAAAUAAAGAAAGAAAGUGAUCACACAAUGACGAUGGAGACUCUGGCUGUAGCACCCACUCCAACACCAACGCCAACGCCAACGCCAACGCCAACGCCAACAACAGAAACAGUCAACAAUGACACAGCAAUCGCACUUGCCCAGCAAAAGAAGAACAGGAUUCAAGUGUCUAACACCAAGAAACCUCUCUUCUUUUAUGUCAAUCUCGCCAAGGUUCCCACUUUUUCUUUGCUGGGUAGUCUUUUCUUGUUUUCAAUAAUGUACGUUUUGGAUUGCUAAUUUUGUUUUUUUUAUGUUUUGGUAUAAUGGAUAAUUUAUUAAUGUGUAAUUUGAUUGUUUCUAUCUUUACAUGUAUGUUUUUGUUUGGAAUUUUUUUUCCUUUUCCUUUUCCUUUUCCUUUUGAUAGGAUCUUUGGAAGUUAGUUUUAUACUUUUUAUGGAUCAUAAUCAAAUCCUGCAUUUUAAGUAGAAAAGUUGUUUUGGUAUACUUUUAUUUUAUUAAAAACAAUUCAAUUUAUCUUUUGAACUUACUGGAUUUGUUUUAAUCUACCAAUAUCAUUCAAGUGAUCAAGUCUUGUGUGUCUUUGCUCAACAUUUCCAUUGUUUUGUGAUCAAUAAAUUUUAUGGUUUUAGACUCUGAUAUGGGGGAAUUUUUGGAGCAUCAAGUAAAUGCCUCUCUGUAGCAAAAAAAAAAAAAAGUUUCCUGCUUUUUAGUUUACUGUCAUUCAAUUGCUAUAGCAUAUAUAGCUCAUCUGAAACUUUCCUGCCUAUAUAUAGAUGAGUUGUUUUUACUUUUCUUGUAGAAAUGGUUUUGUUUUCUGGUCAUAGAUCUCUUAAAUUAUAUGAUAAAAGAAUCGUGGUUAGAUCCUUUUUAAGUGGAUUUAAAGUUUUCCUUCUUCGUCCGUAUGUUAGGAUUAAUUAUGUGGUUAUCCAUCUGGUACAACUCUUUGAAAUGGGAUAGUAGACAAAACUUAAAUAAUUAAAUUGAGAUUAUUUUGUCAUUAUUUUCCUUUUCUUCUUUAAUGCGGAAGUGAUGUCAUUCUUACAAGAAAAUCAUGCCUACAAUGUGAUUUAAUAGGACAUCUUAACGAUUACUGAUCAUGUGAACAUUAUAAUGUUGAGACUCGUAUACUCCUUUAGAUUGUACAGCUCCUGGAUCUGUGUUUAUGAUUUUUAUUUUAAUCAUGCAUUGUGAUUUUGUUGCAGAGGUACAUGCAGCAGUAUAAUGAGGUCGAGCUUUCCGCCUUGGGCAUGGGUAUGUUCUACAAAGCCACAUCUCAUAGUUUUGUUAUGUUUCUUAUUUGUCUAUGGAGUGGUAGUUUUGUCUUUCUGGUGGAGUUUCUGCCGACAAUAAGCCAUUAACAGUCUACGGAAUGGUAUGAGCUGGUAUUGAGCAAUUGUUGCUGUAUCAUGAAGAAUACCGUAGAGACAUGAGUGUAACAGGACCAAAGAAGGAGUUGCUAAAAUGGUUCUUCUAAGCUUUGGUUUAUCAGGACCAUACGAAUGUAGAGCAUUUUUAAUGAACAGUUGAAAAUGAUUUAUGUAAAAUGCAUUUAUAAUCAUGUUAGCGUAAGAACUGUUUUUGGUUUUAAACAAAAAUCCAUUCCAUAGAGGUAGCGGAAAAUCUUUGUAAGAGAUGGAAGGAAACAAUAACUUUGUAUUGUGGUUAUCAUGUCUGUUUAAAAAUUAUUUUACAUUUUAUUACAGCAAUCACCACAGUUGUUACAAUCGCUGAGAUUUUGAAGAACAAUGGACUGGCCAUCGAGAAGAGUAAGAAUUUCCUCCUCCUAAUACCGAGUCUUGUAUUCAUGAUGAGGAUAUCUGAUUUAUAACAUUUUUAUUUAUGGACCAAACAGAGGUUUUGACAUCUACUGUUGGCAUGAAAGAUGAGAACAAAGGACGACAGAUUCAGAAGGCUAAGGUAUGGUUAAUCUCAUUAUGAAUCUUAAUUUGAUUCAUCAUCCUCUCAUGUAUGAUAAUUAAUAACGAAUUUUUCUUAUUAUCCUUUUCUUUAUGGUAACUGAUUGAUUAUUUUUCCUUGACUUCUAGAUUGAGAUUGUGUUGGAGAAGUCGGAGAAAUUUGAUAGUCUGAUGAAUGCUGUUAGUUCAGCUCCAGAGGAGGAGGCAGCGAAAGAUAAUAAGGAUGAUGAGAAACAGUGAAGGAAAUUUGAUGCUCUCUUGUUGUAGUUCUGUAUCCACUUUUUUAUUUUCCAUCUACCUAAUAGUGGCAGGGACUUAUUUUUUCAUUAAGUAUUUUAUCAUGGAUAAUUUAGGAGUAGAGAGACAGUGGCAUAGUGGGACGUUGCAGUUAUAUAUAUGCCUCUCUCUUUGCUCUGAUUAUACACCUGUAGAGAUCAUAAAUGUUAUUAUACUGUUUCUUUGUUCACAUGUACUCUUUCGGUGAAUCUGCAUUUAAAGGAUUGUGUGAGCAUCUAAUCUCUGCUAAAUUUACUUAUAAAAUCUAUUCUAUAUAAAAGGAUUGUUGGGACAGUAAAUCUGAUAUGAUCUGGGAACUAGGUGCGGCACGCGCACAAUUUCACUUUACAGAUGGUAAGAAAUAGUAAAAUGUUUGGUCAGGAUUUGAACAUCAUAAAUUUUCUCUAACAAUGCCAUAUAUGUCAUACAUGGAUAGUAAUUAAUUCAUGAAUGAAACCAUAUCUGUCAUUCAUGCAUAAACAUGUAUAAUCGGCUGACUUAUAUUUAAGGAUUGGAAUCCCUUUUCUUGACCUGAAAUUAGUUUUUGCUAAGAAUUUGUUAGGUAUAGUGUUUGGAAAUUGCUGCGCCGCCGUUGAGGUUCUGUUCGAGGUUUCAAUAAGCGUUACAAUAGAAGUUUCGCAAUCAAUAAUGAAUUUUCAGGAUUACAUUCGGUAUGUUUAGAUCUUAAUGCUGUCCAUGAUUUGGCUAUCAAUAGCAAUUGUUUUCUUCAUUUUUUAGUUCAACUCAUGCAUGCUUUAGUUUGCAAACAUGUUUGUUAUUGUUAGAUCCAGUUUUUUUUUUGAGUAUCUGUGCAAAGGAAAUCAUGUUAUUGCUUCCUCCAACCCAAAGUUCACUGCUAUUUUUUUUUCACAUCUGCUUCAUUGCUUGGGAUGCUUUCAUUCUUUUAGAUCCAUCAGCGAAACCGUUUUUCUCCUCUUUUGUAAGCAAUGUUUAGAUCCAUUAGCGAAAACAUUUUCCCGCAAAUUAUCUAGUUCAUUGUUAAAUAAUAACAAUAUGCUGAUCUUGAUUGUAUCGAAAUCUCCGGUUACAUUUCUAAUGAGUGAUAAAGAUGAAAGUGAUCAGAGAAGCUGCAGCCUUGAUCAGCACUUGUAAUGAUCCGCGCAAUCAUUUCUAAGCAUGCAUGGUUUAUCUCUUCUUGGUGAACUGUGGGGCCUAGUUCCUCUCAUUUCUUUGUGAAAUUUACAGAUCGUCAUCCUACAUCUUUUACGUCUGAUUUUUAAUGUUGUUUCCUGAUAUGUUUUACUCGUACACACCUAGAGUGCCCUUCAAGGGAUAAACAGUUUGGCGAUAUAUGAACCUAUUUGCUAAUUCACAGUGUGUAAAUCCUGAUAGGCAAGCACUCACCUUUUAUGGAGAAACUCAAGUUUAUAGUAGUUUUGUAUGCAUUCACACAGCAUACCCUUAGUUAGACAGCAGCUCCAAGUCAGGAUGCCCUAUUGACCAGUGAGUCUUAGACGUUGACAGAGGAAUAUCCUUUCAGUAACUAAGUCUCUGAGUCUUCUGCAUGAGUCAAGGUGUUAGAUUCCAUAGAGAUAUAGAGUUAAUUAUAAAAUCAUGAAUCUAUCUAGUCAAAGAUUCAGGUUUUGAAGAAAAUUUAUAGAAAGGUAACUUAGUUUUAAACUAGUCAGUCCUGGACGUUGACAGAGGACUAGGACUGUCUCAUGCAUACAACAUUUCUGGCAAAUAGACAGAGGACUAGGACUGCCUCAUGCAGACAACAUUUCUGGCAAAUAGAUUAGGUUUUCUAUGAAGCAUUUCUUUCUGGAUAACUGAAUGGAAGAGUGCCAUUUGCAAACAGAAUUGUAGGCUUAUUGCUUUCCAGAAUUUCACCUAUCAAUCACAAUUUCUCUCUCUAAUCAUGCAACUGAGUCCUCAAUUUAUAUCUUUCAUUGUCUAGACAGUAUAGAUUGUUGUAUGCUCCUGUUUAGCCCAUUAUAUAAGUUAUAACCCAACCCAACUAGGGUUAUUUUCAUCAUUUUCCAGUCAAAACAAGGACCACAUUGCAAACUCAAGAUUUUAUCUGGGCCACAAAAUCAAAACCCAAAAAUCUCCUUAAAACGGAAACUCCUCUUAUACACGCGCACACACCUCAGACACAGAACACAGUCUCUCUGUCUCCCUCUCGCUCCCCAUAUAUGCUGCAACACUUUUCCAGACCUAAAACAGAAAAAACCCACGAACUCUGUCCAACUUUCACUGCUUUUCAAAACCCAGAUUUUCUGCUUGUCUCUUAAUGUAAGUUCUUGCUUAAUCUCGUCUUCUUGGUGCUUUAUUACUGUACUUCUUUAGGGUUUUAGUUGUUAUUUCUUGCAUAACUGUUGUUGGGUUAUUUCGUUAAUGCUUUGUUUUCAAGUCAUUUAGGUUGCUUGGCUAUGACCCUUUUAUUGGUUUUUGUUGAUUAACGAUCCUAUGCACUUUUUCUUUCUUUUUUUUCUUGCUCAAAAAGGGUUCCUUUUCAGAUUGAGGAAUUAGGGUUCGCAGUUUUCUUGUUUAUUAUGGGUGGUUUUGAAAUAGUAUAUAGUGCUUGGUAUUUGCCUGGGCGUGUUUUCCAUAUAUCCUAUAAGAUACGUGUUUUUGUUUUGUUUGUUUUUUGUGUGUAUGUUUGUAUAUUGAUGAGGGGUUAUUGGGUUUGAAUUUUUUUAAGAAUUCAUGGAAUCUUGGCAGUGGAACUGUUAUCUAUAAUAAAGAAAGAAGAAACUAGGCCUGUUUUCUUAAACUCAAAUAUGUAGGGGGCAGGGUAAGGUAUAUAGGCGAAUGCUAGUGAUGACAGCGGCGCCAGACUCCCAUUAAACACACGCCUCUUGCAUUUCAAGUGAUUUCACCACAUUGAUUGUCGCUGCAAGGAUGUAAAAAACUUAAAAAGAGGAUUAAUAUUAAUAUUAAAUUAAUUAAAAAAAACUAAAGGAGGAGGAGGAGUUUGUACUGUAUCCCUAGACUCAUAACACUAUUCAUGGAAUUGUGAUCUGACAAAUUUGUCCCUGGGCAGGAUUUGACGGUCUUUUUACCAUGAUUCAAUGUAAUUUCCAAAUUAUCCGUGGUAGAUAAGUUUUCUCAAUUUUUUAGAACAUUUAAAUCACUUAAAUACCCUCGGAACUAAAAAAAAAAGGAUGGCUUAAGCUCAGGGGUUCUUAUGUUUUUAUUUUUAUUUUUUAUUAACGUUAAAUUACUUAAUCACCUCUUGGUUCAAAAUUAAUAAAACUAUCUUUUAGGGUUUUUUUUGGUCUUUUCAGCAUGAUUUUUUUUUUGUUAAUGUCAAUUUAACUGGGGGGCUUUUUUGUAUUUUAAUAAAUUUUUAAUAAACUUUGUUGGCACGUGCCAGCAUGUAGGAUUGUAGGCAGACCCCAUGCUCUUUGAGCAACACAUGCAGGGUAAUCAGUUACCAAACCCUACCUUCCGCGGCGUUUAAAAGGUCUCGAUGCUCCUUCCAUGAUGGGGAGGUGUGUGUGUGCCAAUAAUCUAUAAAAUUAGAAUUCUCUUUCAAUUUCAACCUUUUUUUUUAUUUUAAAUUUAGUUAUUAUUCUCUUGAUUGCUAUUUAUUUUGUUUGAGAUUUUUUUAAAUUGUUUUUUUUCUCAAUCUCAUUCUCAUGUUUUUUUUUCCUAUCAAACUUGAUUUCUAUUUUUUUUAUUGUUAUCUUUUUUUACCUUGAUAAGUUUUUUUAAAUUAAUAUUUUUUUUCACGAUUUAUCCUUCAACAUUAAAUUGGUUGAGAAUUAAGUUUCUUCAUUGAACUCGGGUUUAAAUUUUAAAGGUUGCGAGUUUUAGAGAUUAGACCAAGUUUAAAAGGUUUGCAUCGAGUUUGUUUGGUUUUUUUUCUUUUGCUUAAGCGCUUUUUUUUUCAUCCUUCAACAUUUAUUCAAUUUGAAAAUGAGUUCUAUUAUUUUUAUUCAUUUGAUUUAUCUAAAAUUUUGCGCUGGUCUUGAAAAUGACCUUGGUUAUCUCAAGUCCUUUUCAUAUGUUGUUCUUUGUUGGGUUUUUUUAUCUAAUUCUUUAAAUUGAUAAUUUUUUUCGAUUUUGUUCUUUAAUAUUUAGAAUAUUUUUUUUAAACAAUUUGUAAAAUUAUAAUUCAUUUUCAAUUUCAUCUCCUUUAAUUUAUUAAUUUUUUUGAAUUUAGUCCAUAUUCUUUUGAUUGCUAUUUAUUUUAUUUUAAAUAAUUUUUUUUAACAAUUUCAUUCUUUUUAAGUUUUUUAUUUCUUGUCAAAUUUGAUCCCUGUUCUUCUUUUUUUGCUUUGAUAAAUUUUUUAAAUUGAUAUUGUUUUUGUUUCUAUAAUUCGACAUUAGAUUAGUUGGGAAUUGAGUUUCUUAACUGAGUCCGAGUCUAUGAUUUCAUGGGCUCUGGGUUUUAGGGAUUAACCUAGGUUUGAGAGGUUAGCCAGAUUUGCUUUUUUUUUUCCUCCUUGUUCUUUAAGCUUAUAUUUUUUAAGUUUUAUUUUUCAAUAUUUAUUCAAUUGGAGAUUGAGUUUCGUUAAUUUUAUUUAUUUGCUUUCUUUAGGAUUAUUUAUUUAUUUUGAAAAUAACCUGGGUUUUCUCAAGUCUUUUUAUUAUUGUUAUUUUUUUGAUUUACUUUGGGUAUUCAAUAUUAAAUUAGUUGAGAAUUAAACUUUUUGAUUCAAUCCGGGUCUAGUAUAUAAUGGGUUGAGAGUUUGAGAUCUUAGCCCGAGUUUAGAAGGUAUGCUUAGUUUGUAUGAUUAAUUUUCCCCCUUCUUUUAAACUGAUUUUUUUUUAAUUUCAUCUUUCAUCAUUUAUAUCAUUAGUGAUUAGAUUUCUGUUUUUCUUUAUCUGUCUACUAUAGGUUGUCCUGAGUUUUUUUAUUUGUUGUUUUUUAUUGGAUUAUUUGGUAAGUUUUCUAAAUUAAUAAUUUUUUAUUGCUGAUUUCAUCAUUCAACAUUGUAUCAGUUGGUAAUUUUUUUUUUUGGUUCCUUCUUUCGAGGUUAAGGUUUUUUGAUUUUAGGCUUCGUAUUUUCUUUUUAUCUGUCUAUACUAGUCCCAUCACCCAGACUAUAAAAUUUGUGGGUUGGCUUAAUUUUUUUAGGGUUGUUUUUUUAAAUUUAAUAUUUUUUAUGCUCUGUCUUUCAACAUUAAGUUGUUUGGAUUUGAGUUGUGUGAUGUUUGCAGGCCUGCCUUCUAUUCAGUUGUCUCAUUUACAUGAUCCAGAUCACAGAGUUUGGUUUGCUUGGUUUUUUUUUUUUUUUUAAUUGACCCUUUUUUAAAUUUUAUUUUUCGACACUGGAUUUGUUUGGAAUUCAAUUACGAGUCUUUUUUAUUUGUUUAUCCCAAUCUCAUAACACGAUUUGCAAAUUUGGCAUGUUUGGUAAGGUUGACCUAGGUUGUUUUUUUUGUCUUCCACAUUUGAUUGGUUGAAAUCUUAACUUCAUUAGCCUUUUAUUAUACCCUUUUUUUUUUUUGUAGGUUGUUGUGAUUUUUUUUAAAGUUGGUACAUGUAUCAUCCUUUUUGUUUUUUUUUUUUUUCAGUUGGUUCUAUGCCUCGAGUUGCAUUUUUUUAAAACUUUUUUAAAACACGUUCGCUUCACUCGAGCGUCUUUUUUUUUUAACCAAAAAAAUGUUCUAGACCGCGGCAUAGUGUGGGCCCACAAACUAGUAUGUAUAUAUAUAAUUUCAUCAUUUGUUCCUGCAAGUAGUAGUAUUUGUGGCGUUGAUGAGUGGCCCUUGUUCAGGUUGUAUAUGUGGCUCUUUAACAUAGUUGUUUAAUGGAAGUCAUUAUAAUUCUUGCCUUUUUCUUGACCUUCCAUGCCCUGCAGUUGUAUUAUGGCUCCAGGUUGUGGAAAACUUUCCCUUCUUUUUAUUAGAUUCUUUUUGCACCAUUUUGUUUAUAUUGGAAAUUGAAGGCAUGGGUGUUGAGAGUUUGUUGAUUUAAGGAUUUCUACACCUUUUUCUUUCUUCUAUAUAAUUUGGAUAGUUGGGUUUAUAAACUACGUUCUUGCUUUCUUACAGUGCAUAUCUCAUGGCGGAUGUUGAUCAAGGCAUUGGUGAGCAUGAAGUGGAUCACGCUGCAGUUCAUGGUGUGGAUCCUGCUGCUGACUGUGUUGAUCAUCCUGUAGACCAUGGUUUGGACUCCACUGACCUUGGAUUGGAUCAUGGCACUGAUCAUGCUGUAGAUCAUGGUGUGGAUCACAUCACAGGUCCUGGAUUGGCAGUAGAGCAUGAUGACAUGGAUCACCCUACAGAUCAUCAUGUGGAUCCUUCUAUAGACCAUGAUGUGGAUCACCCUGUGAACCAUGACAUGGAUAAUGCUAUAGAUCAAGUGCCUGAAAAUAAUGAGGCUUCAAAGCAAGGACAUGAUGAGGAUACAGUCUCUGGAGGUGGUGAGAAGAGGUGGCCUGGAUGGCCUGGAGAGAGUGUGUUUCGGAUGUUGGUUCCUGCUCAAAAAGUAGGCAGUAUCAUUGGCCGUAAAGGGGAGUUCAUUAAAAAGAUAGUCGAGGAGACAAGAGCACGCAUUAAGAUACUUGAUGGUCCUCCAGGGACGACAGAAAGAGCUGUAAGUUUUUCUUCUCUUUUAUUUGCCCAACUAGGUUAUCUGGAAAAUAUAGAAAUAGGCUGGUUGGAAAUAAUUUGUUGAUGCAAAGUGUUUGAUGGUUAGACCUCCCUUGAUAUUUCAUUCAUAUGUCAACUGAAUCUAUCAUAGCAUGCUUUAAUUUUGUUUUUCUUUUCUUUUUAUGUUUUCCUUUCCCUCUUAAGAAAUUGAUAAUUUGGAACAUGGAAGCAAUUUUCAGGCAUUGCAGAAUAUUUUGUCAGGGUUAGCUGGUUGUGUUGUAAUAUUACAAGUUUGGCCAUCUAUCUAUAACACGUCUGAUAUUUUUAAUAGGAAUUUGGCGGUUGCUACUAAAACUUGUUUGUGAUUGGAUCACAUGAUCAUCAAUCUGUGCUUUGAGCUAUAUUAACAUCAAUUACAAAGGAAGCUUGUUUAUGGAAGAGAGAUUGAUAAGGCAAGCUUAAUUUUAUGUAUUGACUUAAACCCAUAACAAAGAAGCUAGCUUUUCAAAGAGAUUGAUAAAGUUUUAAGCUUAUAAAUUUCUCCUUAGCUGUAAAUAUAACUUGUAUUAAGGAGUUUUCUAAUUAUUAAAACAUAGAAGAAAAUGGAAGUGAUAAUUAAAACACACAUUUCAAGUUGAGGUUGUAAAGCUUCUAUGCAUCAUUUGUAAACCAAAUUAAAAUCUGUGCAAGUGGCACAAUUCUGAUCUAUAAUUGUUUGGAUAUCUGAUUCAACUGUUUAUCAUCCAACCCUUUGUGUUCUUGCCACUGUGUAGUAUUUUUCAUGGCAGUCAUUUGUUUUCUAUGGAUAUCCGAGUUAUGUAUCUAUCUGUACCUUGCAAUGAUAUUAAGAGGGAGAGUUCUCAGAAAUAUCGCAUAUUAUUCUGUCACCCUUUAAAGCUACAACAUUUGAUUGGGAAUUAAGAAAUCAAUUUUGAAGAGAACCUAAGAUAUGAUCAUUUAACUUUGAAUGAAUCAUUAUUGUAAAAGUUUGCGUAGUUGAAAAGAAGACAAAAAGGAAGCCUCGUCAGAAGAAAUCGAGAAGUAUAACAGAAAUACUUUUAUUGCAAUGACAAAUGAAUGUGUGCAGGUUCUGUCCGCAAUUUUUUAAGCAAUGUAUCAACCAUCAUUAGGAUCCCAAAUUUGAAGAACCAAAGAUCCAGAUUGCUGGGAUCAGCAUUGAGCAUUGCAAAGUGCUGAAAAGUUGAUUUGAAUAUACAGACAUAUUACACGAACAACAGUUCCAUGAAGCUCUGCAAUCUUUCUGGUAACUUCAGAAACUGCAUGGUUGAUUUCUGCCGCAGCUUGUAAACACCACAAAGGAACCUGUUUUAAUCAACAUUAGAGGAUGCAGAAGAUGUUAACAUCAAAGUGCUAAUCUAACUUUGUCAUAAUAUACUUCCACGAUUAAACAGUAAAAGAGACAAAAAAUUUGGUCAACUUUAGUAAAUAAUACACUGAAACUUGUCAAUCCAUGAUUAUGUUUUUUAUUUUUAUUGGUUAAAAAAAUUAAGAAUCAAAUCUAAGUGAAGUGUAAUAGUAACCCUUAGUUACAUGUUAGGAGGAGAAAAUGAUCAAAUGUUAUGCAUUAGAUUUGACAUCAUGGCGAACAGAGGAGCAGGUGGAGAAUUUAUAGUGCAUGCGCGCUAUUGAAUUUUGACAACAAAAUUGAGGAAUCAUUAUUCCCUAGAGGAGGAGAAUAGGGGAAUAACAGGCAAUGGUUGUGGUGAAACUCUAAUAUAGUUGUAAAAUUUCAUACAAUGGGAUACCAUAUUGUUUGAAAUGUUAUUUAGAAAGAGUUGUGUCAUUGUUUUUAUUUUUUAUUUUUCUCACUUGUUGCUCCAUCUCAUUUCAUUUUCCUCUUCCCUUGAGGUGUUCUUGGACUCGAGUCAUAGUUUUUUUCCUUGGUUUGUUAUACUAACUUUGUUAUAUAGGUAAUGGUAUCUGCCAAGGAGGAGCCUGAUUCCUCUCUUCCUCCUGCUAUGGAUGGCCUACUGAGGGUUCACAAACGCAUUAUUGAUGGUUUGGACAGUGAUUCUUCUAACACUCCACCAACCAGUGGAGCUAAGGUUUCAACAAGGCUGCUAGUACCAGCCUCACAAGCUGGAAGUUUGAUAGGAAAACAAGGAGGAACCGUUAAAUCCAUCCAAGAGGCAUCGACUUGCAUAGUUAGAGUUCUUGGUGCAGGUUUUUCCCUUUCGCUUCUGAGUUUGAAAUGAUUCAAAAUUCAUUUUGUUAUCUGUUUUCUUGAAUUAAGCUAUUGCUGUUUGUCAUGGUGAAGCCAUAAUCAAUGGCUGUCUUUUACAAUUCAUUCCAUUUUUCAGAAAAUCAUGUUUUGUAAAUUAUGCUUUACUGGAUUCAAGUGCUGUUUUUUCUCAUUGUGUUAUAAUUGCAACUAAUUCAGUAAUGGCAAAUUAACCAAGUUCUUUGGAAAUAGAAACUAUCUGAAAUAUGUAGUUGUCAUGCUCUAAACUUACAAAUCAAGUUUCUGAGUAAUGGAGGGGUGAACCAAGGCCAUCAUUAACAGAGUUCCUUGCAUUUCUUCAUCUUCUUCACUUACCUCUGUAAUAUGUGCCUUUAUUAUUUGUUGCCAAUUUGUUAUAAUUUCUCAACCACACCAUUACCGACAAUGCCUCUAGCUCAGCUGUUCACCCCACCUCUUCCACCCACCAUUGUAUCACUGUUGUUUAUUUAUAGUGGUAUCAUGAUGAUGUUGGUUUCAAUACCUAAUCAAUGACCACCACAUGCAGUUCUUUUUUCUGAGGUUCAGGAUUGCAUAAUUUAUUAUUGAGGUUCAUGAUUCCUUUGUAAGAUCUGGAACAUCUAUCUGACCUAUCUACCUUUCUUUUCUUUUAAGGUCCCACCUUCUCCGCUAAAAAAAGUGUGGCAAAAUUAUUUGAGGAUACUCAUUUAGUGGACUGUUUUGCUCUCACCCCUCUUCUGCUGUUUAUUAUGAAACUCAUCUUAAUAAUUGAUUAUCUUAAUGCCUCGUAUGUUCAUUUUGUUUUACAAGUCCUCAUGGUUUGGAUUCAGAUACUUCUCUCAACUUAUUUCUGAAUUUUAUCUGCAUGUCUAAUCUCUCUGUUUUUUUUUUAUCAAACUGCUGCAGAAGACCUUCCAGUUUUUGCUCUUCAAGAUGAUAGGGUUGUUGAAGUAUUGGGGGAAGCAGCUGGAGUGCACAAAGCAGUGGAGUUAAUUGCAUCUCAUCUCAGGAAAUUUUUAGUUGACCGAAGUAUAAUUCCGUUAUUUGAAAUGCAAGUAAGCUGCUCUUCAUUAAGAUUGGAAUGACUUUACCUAUUAUGGCAUGACUGGUCUGAUGAAAUUCUGAUUUAUAUAAUUUACAAGAUGCAAAUGUCGAAUCCUUCAAUGGAGCAGAUGCCACCACAUCAAUCAUGGGGUCCACCUCAACCCCUUCCUCCAAAUCAUGGUGGAGGACCUGGUUAUGGACAAAAUCCCCAAUAUAUGCCACCUCCGCGACAGCUUGACAAUUACUACCCUCCUGCUGACAUGCCACCUCUAAUGGAAAAACAACCUCACCAGGGUAUAUCUGCAUAUGGAAGAGAAGCUCCCAUGGGUAGCCAUGCUUCAUCAAAUGCCCAAGCUGCACCAUCAAUGAUCACACAGGUUCUUUUAUUCUCUUUGUUUUCCUUCCCCCUCAUCCAUCUCAUUGAAGGAAAUUCGAGAUGCUUUUAGCACCUUUAUGUUGGAGAAUGAGAUGGGAUGUGGGAUGACAUGCCGAUAAGCAGAAACACCCCCCCCCACCCCCCUGGAUGUUCUAUGUAAACAUUUGAUUCGAUUUUAUUUUCCUUUUUCACGAUUUCUUGAGGUUGGCAAGGGUUGUGUAGCUCUCAUGGGGAGCUUUGCCCACUGCUAUAGCUUUCCAUAAAAGAUAUCAUAUAGUAAUUUUACAUCCCAGAUUUGAUGGAGUGGAAUUAGAGACCUUUUAAUACAAAUCACAUGCAGAAGAUUUAUGCAAUCAUUUUUCCUUGGUAUUAUAUGUUAUUAUUUUUGGUUGGGAUGGGUUUGUAAUAUUUCUCAGGCUUUUCUUUCAUUGCAAAUGAAGUGGUUCUAUUUUAUUCGAUUGCAAGCCAAAUAAUCUCAUUUUGUAUUUCUUUCUGGCACUUAUCAGCACCUUUGGAGGUUUCAAAAUGACUGACAGAUUUUGUGGGUUCUUGUGCAGAUUACACAACAAAUGCAAAUCCCAUUAUCAUAUGCUGAUGCUGUUAUUGGGACAGCUGGUGCAAGUAUAAGCUACAUUCGACGUGCUAGUGGGGCAACUGUUACUAUACAAGAAACUAGAGGUGUUCCUGGGGCAAUGACAGUUGAAAUCAGUGGAACUGCUUCUCAAGUCCAAACAGCUCAGCAGCUGAUACAGGCAAUAUUUCAUGCUUUAGCUCAAUUGAUCUUCCCCUCUCUUUACUAGAUGUAUCCUAUUUGGGUGACAUGUUUUCCUAAACUGCUGAUUGUAUAUGAAUGGGCAUUGCUUGCAUGAGAUUUUGACAAGGCUUGCAUUUAUUUAUCAUGUAUAAUCCCGCAAUUAUUCAUGUUUAGUCUAAAAUUUAAUUUUAGGCUUAAUAAGGAUGUUUACAAACUGAAGCUAAAUAACGAGUUGUUUGUCAAAUGGACAACAUAAUAUCUGAUUUGCUUUGCUGGUUGUGCGGCAGGACCUUGUCAUUAUAGGCUGCAUAUUGUGGUAUCUGCUAGGAAUGUCAUAAAAUAUUUGUUACGGUUCAUGGCAUCUGUUCUGCAGAGCGUAUAAGUACUUGUAAAUUGAUUAGUGUUUCAAGGUUGGGAAAAGUGAAGUUGAUGCAGGAUGGUUUGUCACUAAAUAGGAAAACAUUUUGUAUAAUAGGAAGAACCUACUUUACAAUUUCCUUUUUAAACAUCCAUGUGCACUGAGGUGUAAUUUUAAUCAGGUCUUCAUCAUUUGAAUUGGAGCCUGUGGCCAAGAUUAUGUGGCUUACUAGAUAGUGAUUGUUGUGGCAUGUAGUUUCAUAGUAUGAUGCUGCACCAUAUAUUUUCCACCUAGAAUGACAAGUUCAAUGAAAGAAGACAGAGCAGGAAAAAAGAUUGAAGUUCUGAUGGAUGAUGAACGUCAGCCAAGUGAUUUAAAAAUUGUUCUUUUGGCAUAGUGAUAGGUUCGGGUGAUCGUUUACUAGAUGGAAAUUGCUGAUGUUGACUCAUUCUUGUUCUCAUUUAUAUAAAGAAAAUUUUCUGUUUUUCUAAUAUAAGCAAUCUCUUGUUUAAUAGUUGGGCUAAAUACGGUAGCUGGGGAUCCCAGCUGUUGAUUUGCAUUAAUUAUAGUGUAUAUGCAUUUGAUGGGAUUCUGAUGGUGUACUCUUCUAUUGCAGAAUUUCAUGGCUGAAGCUGGAGCCCCAGCACAGCCUCAGACAGGUGGGGCUGCAGACCAAGGAUACAAUCCUUAUUCACACAGUUCAGUGUAUGCUUCUCCACCAUCCAAUCCAGAACACACCGGCCAUGCUGGGGGAUAUGGCUCAAUGUAUGGUGCAAACUAUGGUUACUAGGCAGCAGCUCUGAGUUGGUUCCCUCGUUGAUAUGACUUGUUCUUUGCUGAGUUGGUUUCCUCUGCGAACUUGGAUGAUAUUAUCACCAAAUAAUCAAUUAAGCAUGCUGUAGUUGUACCUUGCAUUUCUCUAGAUUCUUGGCUAGACAAACCUAAGUUAGAUUCUUCAUGUGCAUUAUGCUUGGACCACAUGGCGUUGCCAAUAGAAUGUUUUAAAUUCUUGUGCAACUUCAGCCAUAUGCUCGACUCUUCUAUGAUAGCUUCAUUUGUGGACGAAAAUUGUCACUAUUAAGGUACUUUGGCGUCCAGUAACUCAUCUUAGUUUUGUUCUUGCCUUUUGGUCCUGUGGAUUGUGUGUGCUUUGUAGAGAAAAGGGCAGUUGUUGGAAUUGAGUUGGUUUUUGUGAAUGGAGAGGUAUGAGCAGUUUAUUAAUUUUCUGUAAUCUUCUCCAGGUUCUUGGACUUUUGUUUAAAUGAUUGGCUAAUUGGUCAAGUUUUACUCGAUUUGUUUUGAUUUUUUUAAAGUGUUUUUUUAUUUGAAAAUAUAUUAAAAAUAUAUAUAUAUUUUUAAAAUUUAUUUUUAAGUUCAGCACUUUAAAUAUUUAAAUUUUGGCGAAAGCACCAUCGCCAAACGGGCUGUAGGUGACUGCUGAACCAAUUUUGAUGGGUUCGUUCUCUAGUUAGCCUUUUCUAUAUGAACUGAUCGUUCAAUUCAAAAGGCAUUUGAGGAAUUGAAAUUUCAUCCACCACAUUUUCCCCCCAGCAGACCGGAUCUUGCAAACUUUAAUUCUAUUUUACAAAAAGGAAGUUUGAAACCCAUUUAAUUUACUUCAAUGAAAUCCCUCUUCCCUUCCUAAUAUUUCUUCUUUAUUUUUUGAGCUUUGAAUUUAGUUUUUGUAUAAUUUUUUUUGUUUUUUUAGGUUAUUUUAGUCUUAUUAUUGGGAUUGUAGAUUUUAUGAAUUAAUUUGAUUGACUUAAGUUUUUUUUAUAUAAUUAUUUUGUUAUUUAAUAUUUGAUUUGAUUGAGAAUUAAAUUUUAUAAUUUAUUUUAUUUUAGUUUUUAUAAAGUUAUUCCAGUUUCAUAAUUUGAGUCAAGAAUAUAUAAAGCUAAAAGAAAAUGAGUGAGAGUGCAGAGAUAAAGAUAAAUGGAGAAGGAAAACAAAAAAUUCCAUACCAAAAGAAGAACAAAAACUGCAUCAUUUGAAGUGGACAUGCCAUUUGAUAAUGGAGAGUGUUACAAUUUCUAGAGGAGGAUCAAAGUAAGAUGAAGAAAAUAAAAGAAAAGGAGAGGAGGAUCUACAAGUGCUAGAUGAAGAUAUCAUGAGGUUUGGGUGGCUUGGAUCUUUUCAUCACAUAUAUACAUGAAAAAAUGUUGAACUUGUAGGUAUUUUCGCGAGACAAACUGCCAACCGAUGCCAUAACAAGUCCUUGAAAAAACCUGAAGCUCCUCUGUUUACUCACGUAGGUCUCUUUGGACACUACUAGUAAAGUAAAGAACAUGAUGUCGAGAAAGAAGAGGAGAGUAGAUAAAUUAUAAUGGUUUUAUUAUAUGCGAAGCUUGCCUUGUACCAAGCUACGCACAAACCUCUCCUAUGAUUGGGAGAGGGACCUGGAUAUAGCCAGGUGUUUUCGUGCAUGCUAGAGUGUAUGAUUUAUGAGUAAUACAUGAUGAUGAAGUGCUGCUAAUUAUAGAUGAUGCUAGACAGACCCUUGAAAUGGUUUUUUCCCGCGUGUCAUCCUCUAACAUUCAAAGUCUUUAAAUGUUGUUCCUGUAAAACAUAAGCAAAAGAGGAGCUGGCGGCAGAAGAGGGCUUGCAGCAAGUGCUGCUGUAUGUUUAACUUGCUGACUGAAGGCAGUUCCUGUACUGCAGAAUGUUGCGAAGUGCUCACAGUUGUUAGACAGGAGGUUAUAUUUGCCGAAACCUUCUUUCAACUUUUCUUUUGCAGUCUCAACAAUUUCACUCCCCGAUUUCGAUCUCUCGGUGGUGGUGCAAUUAGGGCACAUGGUAUGAGAAGUGAUACUAAGAAUCAUUCUGGGCACAUUAUAAUUAUAUCGACAGAGGGAUCCUCCAUGGAGGAAGCACUCAAGACAAGUUUCCACCACUCCAUGGCCCGUAUUUCUUGAGAAGCCACAUUUUUUGCAAGCCCUUGUGGGUCCGGCUUUUGGGCCUACGAAGUGAAUGACUUUCCCAUCGCCUAUAUAUAUUCCUGCCAUAAAUUAAGCAUAUAUUAUUGAUAAAAAUUGUUGGAGUCUGGAACAAAUUAAUUGACGAGAGAAGUGUCAGAGUGAAAAGAAGAACUGACCAUGGUGGGUGUACAAAGGCCGAUGCACAUAGAUAUGGAGACCCUCUGGUAUGAGUCUAAUAUCCCAACCAGCAAUGCCAUGCUCGACCUGUAAUAUUGGGGGAACUUCUUCUUCUACUAUCAUCUCUCCAGCUUAACUAUUUCUUUCAAGCUGAAUAUUUCGGUGAGGGUGCCGUCUUCAUAUAUAUUGUGGCUUUUAAGGAUGUGAUAUUGUUGCCUUUUGAUUCUUGCCAGCCUACAAGGCCGGGCCCUAUGUGUUCUUUGGAUACCAUUGCACAUGCGAUUUUAUGGGUUUUUCCUUUUUUAUAAUAAAUAUGAGUGUCUGGGCCAGCUUAAAUACACCUCGAUUAAUCCCACGAGCCUUGAAAUUAACGACCAUGUAAAUCUCCAAUAACCCUGAGGUUUGUGAGAUUCGAACUAUGGAUUUAUGGGUUUUUAUGAGUUUCUUUUUAUGGGUUUUUCCCUUCAUCUUUUCUCAGAUGCCAAAUGGAGAUUAAAAUGCCAGAAUAUAUAGACCUGAAUGUGAUACCUCACCUACGUGAUAUUAGAUACAUUUCUCUUGACAUUUUCAAAAUAAAAAAAAAAAACCUGAAGGGACCCUCAACAACUCUGGAGUAAGGCUUCUGCGCCUUCAAUUUGUCGUGCGAAGAGCCUAUUGACAUUUUGAGAUUGCAUUAAUUACUUUGUAAUAAAUUUUUUUUUAGUUUAACGCGGGUGUCCGAGCCAGCUUGCGUGCAUCUCGACUAAUCUCACGGGCCCUGAAGUUAACGACCAUGUAAGCCUCCAGUGGUCAUCAAAGGAAUCAAUUAUUGCUGCAACCCAACGCUAUUUCUGUAUGGUUUUUGGUGCGAACCAGACUGUAGCUGACAACUAUUCUUCAUAUCAGAUUGUCAAACAAAAUUUCGAAUAUUUAAGUAGGAAUAACUUUGUAUAAUUUCUUUAGAUAUGACUUAUAUCUUUAGACCGCACUGUAUUGCUGUUCAAAUCAAUUUAUUUUUUAAAGUAAAAAUAUAUUACGGGUUGCAAACUUAUUUUCUAGGAGAAGAAAAUUUUAAAUAUUGUAAGAGUUGAUAUGAUAUGAUCUUGUUAACUUGAUAAAUUUAAAAACAACCUGAAUGAUUGUUAAAACCCGUAACCCGGAUCAUGUGAUGGUGAUAAGUGAUAACUCCAUAAAAAGUAAGUCAAAAAAAAUUAUAAAGUUCAAUUCUUAAUUAAUCCAAUAUUGAAGGAUAAACAAAAGAUACAAAAAAAUAACUCGAGUCAAUCCGAGUUCACCUACCAAACCCGUGAUCCAAGUAAUAAGAUCAGAAUAACCACACAGAAAAUAAAAUGAAAAUCUAAUUCCAAAUCAAUCAAAAGUUAAAGGAUAAAACUAAAAAAAUAAAAUCAACUUAAAAAAAAUAUCAAGUUAACCAGUUAAAUUUACGACUUAAAUUAUUAAAACAAGAUAAACAAAUUUAUUAAAAAUUAAAAUUAAUUUUUUUAAGUUAACAGUUCUUUGUGAUUUCUUUGCGACGAGGGAAUCAUUGAAUUUCCCUCCUCCAUUUGUUUAUGUCGAUGUAUCAUAAAAUUCUUCUCACACUUGGAUUGAGAGUCCACUCUUAUUUAAAAAAUAUUAGAUUAAUUUUGAGUUUUUGUAUUAUCUAAAUCUGUUUUUAUUUCUUUUGUAACUUAGUUGAGUGUGACUCUUUAAUUUUUUUUAUUCAAAUUUUUUAUUCAUUUUUUUAGUGUUUUUUCCAAAUAAAUGUGGAUAAAGGAUGCUGUGGGCUUUUUUUUUUUAAAAAAAAGAAAUCAUAUACAUGUUAUGUGACUUUUCUUAAAAUGUUAACUUUGAAAUAUUUCUUGAGACUUAUAAAACACACGUAAAAUGUCUCGUAUUGCAGGAUGAUCUGAUAUAAUUAUCUAGUUAUUUAUAAAUAAGAAAAAUCUUCUUUCAAUUUGACCAUCCCAAUUCUUUUUAUAUUUAAAUAUGAGUAUAUCAAGUCUUAAUCUAUUCAAGAUUUAAAUUAUAUAUACAUAUAUAGAAUAAUUCAUGUAUUUUCAAUUAUUUCCUUCUUAAAUCAAAUUCAUUUUAUAUCACGUCUAUAUAUAUAUGUUGUCAUAAAGAUAAAGAAACAACAAAAAAUCUAAUAAUAUGCUUACAUGUAAUAUAGUUUACAUUUGAAGUAUUUAUUCAAUUGAAAAUCUUGGUUUUUCUCUUAAAGAAAAAUUUAAAGAUUAUGUAACAUGAUUUGAUAAUUUUAUUGAGAAAGAACCUAAGUGAAAAAUAAUAAUAAGGGUGUAAAUGAUAUAUAAUCUAACUGAUAUAUUAUUGUAAAUUCUUAAACAACUUUAGUAACCUUGAUAAGAAUUGUUUUCAUAUCCCACAUAUUUCUUUCCUUUAUUUUCCCAGGUUAGCUGCAAAUAAAAAAACAUAUUAAAUAUAUAUAUAUCUUAAACUAUAGCUCAUAAUAUUAAUUCAAUUUGUUUAAACUAAAUUCUUUGUUAUUUUUUAAUGUAUUUGAAAAAACAUCAGAGUUUUAAUAAUUUUUACAAUACUUAAAAAAUGAAGACAAUUCAAAAUUUCUCGACAAUUAAAACUCAAGGUAUGAUUUUUGAAAAAUUAAGAAGAUCCUUAGCCAUUAAGAUUUUGAUAAAAUAAAAAUUUAAUGAAAUAAAAAAGGCAACUUGAUACCUAGUUUUAUCUAUAAAGUUGGAAACUUGAUACCUAGUCAUCCCAUAAAGUAAUAAAUACUAACAUAGAGUAUGGGUUUUUCUUUGCAAUAAAAUUGGGAUAGACCGUGAAAGAUAAUGCGAAACAUAAAUAAUACUCAAUCAUGACACAGAAUUAAACCAUCUAUAGACCGUGAAAUCAUGCUAGCUAUGAGGUUUCCAAGUUACCAUUGCUAAAACCAUGCCAGGAAAAAAAAAAAAAAAAAAAAAUGGCCAUCUUAUAUCCCAUGUAAUGACGGGCUACACGUUGAUAGUUUCCCAGCCUGUGCCUUUCUCCAUUUGUGUCUUCACUUUCAUAUCUCCAGUGGCUCAUCAUGCUCUCUCGAAACCAUGUAGCCCAAUCAAUAACUAGUUUCAAAUAAUUUACUUGGUUGAAGCACAAACACACAAGGCCCCGACCCGGCCAAUAUUUACAACGCACUCGAGAGAAAAUUAUCACACGUUAUUGGCACUAGCAGUAACAUUAUCCUAGUUCCGCUUAUGGAAUCCUCCUCCCCAUUUUGUGAUUAGGAAACCAAAAGAGAAACAAGAAUCUUGCUACUUCACAAUUGAAUUUCCUAAACACAUUAAAUUUUUCAUGGAAAUAGAUCAACCAAGACCAAUUAUUUGAAAUCAAAUGGAGUAUAAGCUGGCCAUGACCAUCCAAACUCUCAUUCAAGACAUUCAUCCAAGACAAUAUUAUCAAAUAAUAUAAUGCUUUCUAAGUCAGCAUGUUGAGUUUAGUACCCCUUACCUCAUGAAGAUCCGUUGACUUGUGAGAAUUCAGCAUCAGCUUUCGAAUUGACUCAUCAACACUCUGAAUAAGCAACAUCAAAACACAAGUACAAACUACAUUUUAACUAUUCAAGAAUUAAGCCCAACAGCCUUGUCGAUGGAGACAACUCCAGAAGAUAUUGAAUCAAAAUGCAAUAAUAUUAGAAUGAAAGACGUGGUAAAUGCUAUCUGUAGCUGUAAUGAAUAUACGAGAGAUGAUGUUUAUAGAUGUUGAAAUCACCGAGUAUAUCUUGUAACAAAUCAUAUUCCGUAAAUCGAUUGUUAAAGUGAUUUUUUAUGGCAAUGAUCAGGAGGAGACUCGGAAAAAGGAAAUAGAGAUAAAGAAAUGAUUACAUACAAAAUGCUAUCCUACAUAACUAGCCCAAGCCUCUGCAUAUCUAGAAAAAUCGAAGAGAUUAUUAUAACUUACUUCCUUGCAUAUCAUCUUCAUUAUAUGAUUGCAGUUUGGUUUGUCUGCAUUAAGUUUUAUUAAGAGUAUCAAUCUUCCUCCACUUUUGGUUCCUAUGUCAAGCCCUCAUGCAAGUUAAAGAAUGUGAAAUAAAUGUGUGCGAGGCUAGAGUGAAAGCAGGCACAAGCAUAUAAUUUUUUUGUGCAACUUGAAGGUUCACACCAGACUAAAAAAAGAUUAUUUUCUUUUCGUUAUAACAGGAGGAUUAAGUUCAUUUAUCAUCACAUGCAUGAAUCAUUACUGAGUUUCAGGUUCAUUUUCCAUGUCAGUGUCUUUGCAGCAUGUCUUCCAAAUAAAAUUGAACUGCGAUCCAUGAUUUGAGAUAUCAACACCACAUUCUUUUUCAAUAUAAAGAUGAUUGCAAAAUCACAAAACAAUGAUGAUCAAAUGGAUUGAAGAAAGCAAAAGAAAUUACACAUCUUUUAGCAUUCAAUAUGUGUUGCUCAUUAACAUCCCAAUCAAUAACUUGAGUCUCCCAAACAGUGAAAUUUGUGUAUUAUAUUGGCUGGUUAUUUGAUUUUUCAUUGCCUAAAGAAAGCAGAAAGUAUUCAUUAUUAUUUUUUUCAGAAUCGAAUAAGAUUCUAAAAGUUGCUCAGAUGAUUAACAAAAGCUACCCAAAUUGCAUUGCAUUCUACAAAGAAAUUUAUUCAUAGGUAACAUUUUCUGACCCAAGCUUUAGUUUUCUCUAAAUUAAUCUUCAAAGUCCAUUUCUCUAAGUCUUUCUUACUUGUUGGCUACGAUAUUAAAGUGCCAAAGGAACAUAAAUUUAGAAUCAUGUGAUCAGUCUCAAUAUGUAAGUUAUGAAUAACUAAAUCAAGGCACAUGAACCUUUCAUUUCAAUGUGCUUUUUUAUCCAACCAUGCUCAUAAAUCAGAAAAGAAACUAAAGGUGCCUACAAAGUUUUCCUUUUUUAUCAACUUUGAAACCAAUAUUAUCAUGAAUAAGCUGUCCGUGAUCCAAGCUAUUUGAAUGGAGAAACAAGAUAUUGCUACUAUACAAGAAUUGGAUUACCUAAAGAUGUUGCGUACAUGGAAAUAGAUCAACCAAGACCAAUUAUUUGAAACGAAAGGGAAUACAAGUUGGCCAUGAUCAUCCAAACUUUCAUUCAAUUCAUUCAAGACAUUAUUAUCAAAUGAUAUGAUGCUAUAAGUCAGCAAGUUAAGUUCAGCACCCCUUACUGCAAGAGGAUCUAUUGACUUGUGAGAAUAUAGCACCAACUUUCUAAUUGACCAAUCAAUACCAGGUAUGAUGGUGGGAAAAGAAAAGCAAGAAAAAAUAACAAGUGUGAAUUGAUACACCGAGAAGAUCCUCCAGGGUCUUGAGAAAAAAUCCCAAGUUUUUAGCUUAAGAUUGCAUUGUUCUUUUCUAAUUUAUUGUUUUUAAUUUGUCUUGUUGCUUGGUCAUAAGUGGUUAGUCACCUCCAGAAUAAUAGCUAAGUCAUGGUCUUGACUAGCUGAAGUCUAGAGUCAGUUUAGCUAUUUAGUUGAUGUAAAGAAACUCUAUUUAAGGAAUUCAUUUGGAAUACCAGGGGGACGUGAAGAAUUUUAUUCAAACUUGUGGUUGUCUUUCACCCAAAGAAAGUCAAGUUACUAUGUGUUUUUCAUUUUGAUCUGACAGAGACCUAUCAUGAAUGUUAACAAAAAUAAGGGAAAACAAAUUACAGAUAUGAAAAAUGAGGAUUGCAAUGACACCACCGAGUAUACAUGGAAAUAAAUCAUAUGCUGUUCAAUUCAUGGUGAUUUCUAUCCAAAACAUUUAUUUCUCAAGUGAGUUGGUUAAUGGUGUGAGCUAGGUGGCUUUAACAAAAGGAAAAACAUUUCUGGUAGCAAAUUGGAUUAUUGUAGCAGAUUUCUUGAACCCAACCUUGUCUGUCUACUGUCUUCUUUAAAGCAGCAAACAUACGCAACAAGAUUACGAUGAAUUUUUUCAUAUGAAACGAAAGCGCAAUAUACCUAUAGAACAUAAUUUUGAAAACUCUGAAACAAGAAUUAUUACGUAGGUUGUUACUUGAGCUGAAAAUUUGAUUACUAAACCAAAUAUAUACAACAUGCCUGAAAGGAAAUAAAUAGGAAAUUGGGGAAGAACCUGAAGGCGGUUGUCAUGUUCCUGCACAAGUAGGCAUUUUUCACCAAAUUCAAAAAAUCACUAAGCAUGAAAGAAACAGAAAGCAUAUCCAUUUACAGAAUUCUAAAACUACAUACAAAGUUUGAAAAUUAGAGUGAAACAAGACUAAACCUAUGAUUUUAGGAAUUCAUGACCAGGAGUCUUUUUUUAAAAAUAUAAAGCAUGAAAGAAGAGAAGCACAGAGGAUCAGACACUCAUUCAAGAAAUAUAAAAACAAAAAAUAUAUUAAAAUGUAGUAAUUAUGGUUCGUUGCCUGAAUUGCAGUUUCUGUCUCUAAGAUAAUCUAACUUUUUUUCCUUUCCACGAAUUUCUUUUUUGUGUGUUCAAAAAAAUAAAUUAAACUUAGAUUAAAGAUAUAGAUAUAAAAAUGGCAAUUUUUUUUUUUUUUUGAAAAUCAUGUGGCAAAUUACUGGUACAGAUUUUUUUAAGACAAAAAAAAAAUAGAGGAUAAAAUAAAAUUAACAAAGAAAAUCUAAUUAAAACUGGAAAUUAAACAAAAACAAUAAUAAUCCUUAAAUUGAACAGAAACAAAACAUACCUAUAAAAAGAUGAUUUCAAGAGCACGAAUUAUUAUACCUUAAAAGUGAAACUGGAUGAGAAAUAUUUCUCUUCAUGCUCUGCUUUAAGACACAGUUAGGGUUUGUUUGAGAGAGAGAGGUUUUCUUGAAGGAUUUAUUUUAGAGAAAUUUGAAAGCAAAAAUCGAAGACAGUGAGAGGGAUUUGUGUGUUUUAUAUAGAGGAGUGGUUUAUCAAUUUUUUUCGACCGUUGGAAGGGUAGGGAUUGGGUUUCCUUCAAAACGGCGUGGGCUUACAAGAUCAAGUUAUAUCAUAAGAAAGGCCCAUUCCUACAAAGCCCAUAAAAGGCAAUUGAAUGGACUCUCCUGUCUCCCACUUUAUAAUCAAGACUUUCUCUCUCGUAAUUAAGGCACAUUUUAACUUCAUCCUUUAAAUAUUAUAACUUAAAAAGAUUUGGAUAAAUUACAAUUACUAUUUUGAAGUGUUUCGAAAUUACAGAACUCACUCAAAAGUUUGAAGAUUUGAUUAAAAAAAAAAAAACACAUUACAAAAACAUCCUCUUUUUUUUUAUCCAAAAUGCCUUUGAUUACUAUUUUUUUAAAAUAAUUAACUGAGGAAUUUUAAAAAAUAUAGAAAGAAUAAAAAAAAUCAGACAUUAUUUUUUAGGACAUAAAUAAUUUUAAUUUGCUUUUUUGUUUUGAGUUUUCUUUUUUCUAUUUUUUAAAAUUAAUUAUUGUUUUUAUAAAUAAUAUCAAGGACAUCUUGAGGAUAAUAUGGAGUUCCUGACAAAUCUUCAAACUUUUGGAUGGUUCCUAUAAUUUCAUUAUAUCUUAGAGGGAUUGUUCAAUUUAUCCCAUAAAAUUUAUUAAAGACACAAUGAGACAUUUACAAUUUAAAUUAAGAUACCAAAUUCGAAUAGGUUGUCAUUGUAGUCAAAGAGGUGUUCUUCCUCCCUUGACUUCCUGAGUUUGAAUCUCUGAGCGAGGUCCUUGAUAAAUUUAUUUCCUCUAAAUGCAUCAAGCUGAUGUGGAAGGUGGGUUCUUAAGAUCAUAUGAUAAAGGGACUUAAUCUCGAUUAAAGCAUAAACUAGUCUAAGGACAUCCCACAAUUGAAGUGUUUGUUCUUCACCUUGACAUUGUGAUAUUGAGUUGUCUUUUUUCAGGAAACCUCAUUUCUCACUAAAACCGUUGGUUAGGUUUUUCUGGCAAAUCCAUGUUCGCCCUGAGUUUUUCUUCUUUCCUCUCAGCACAAUCGAUCUCUAUUAUUAGCAUUUUCUCUAUUCUAUAAAAGUGAGGAGAAAUGAAGUCUCUGUUAUGGAGGACUUCAGCACCGAGAAACUAAAACCAUGUGAAUUCACAUGAACAGGGAAAUCAAGAUGGGAUUCAGAAUUCUUUUUAAUUUCAAUUUUAACAAGGAAACAUCAGACCGGAAAAAAUACACAUUUCUGCCACCCAAAAGAGUACGAACAACCGAUUUCUGUUUUCUUUUCCCACUUUCCGUGCGGCGGGUUUGCAAGCCUUGUUCAAACAAAGAUUUCAGAUUGAUCUUCCCAGAAGGCUGUCACAGUUUCAUAGAGUUUAGAUGAGAGUUCCAAAAUACAAUAAAAAAUAAGAAUCAUUAGCUAGAUAAAUAAUCGCCAGCUCAAGCUCAGGCAAAAUGUACUAUACAUAAUAGCGUUAGAAAACAUAACUAACUCAACUAAAUAAGGAGGAAAUUAAAAAUUACAUGACACCAGAAUCGCUAUCUUGAUAUUGAAGGCUACAAUUACCCACCAUAUUGUACUUUUGAGGUAAACAUACAAUACGAUGAUAGCUGGCGAUAAGCUUAAUCUAACAACUAUCACAGACUACAAAGAAAAAAAGCAGCAGCUAAAGUACUUUUGCACAGGAGUGGCGUACCCAAAUACAGAAAAAAUCACCAUAGUCAGUCACAAAUUAGAUGGGUGCUGCACAUGUUGUUCUAAAAUGACCUGUCUGAUUGCAACGGCUACAAUGCACAACUCGCUUCAUGCGGCCACGAUCUUCUGCUCGUACUCGCUUCUUUCUUGGACGACCGGGUGGCCUAAGUGAUUUGGGUGGAUUGAUGAUAACCUCAACAUUCUUGUUGGAAUCUGGAUCUCCCUCAGAAAACUCAAUCCAGAGACUUUUAUCGGGAAUUGGAUGAAUGGUUUGUGAAUAAGUCUUUCGAUAGGUUGCAACAGUGAAACAGCUCUCCGUGAACCGAUGCACAUUCUGCCUGCAAGAGAGAAGUGCUGCCACAGCAUGUGCACAAGGUAAACCAUAUAGCUGCCAGCCCCGACAAAGGCAACAGCGGUUCCGAAUGUCCACAAUAUUUGUUCCUUCAUGAGAUAUAACUUCAAAUUCAGCUUCAUUAGCACGAAGCACCUGAUAAGUGCGUGCACGCUCCAACGCCUCUGCAACACGCCUCUCAGCAGAAGGCACGAGUAUUGAUGUCCACUGCAUACUGGUCUCUCGGCGUUCAUUGAACCAGGUCAUUAGUUGCCUCCUAAUGCAUUCCACCAUCUGAAUUAUUGGAAGCCCAGAUGCUUCCAAAAUCCAUGUAUUCAAUGAUUCAACUAUAUUAGCUGUCAAAUGUCCAAAUCGAGUACCUUCAAAAUAUGCAGUAGCCCACAACCGAGGGGGGAUUCUCCGUAUCCAAUAUGCAGCAUCUUGUGAUACCUCCUCAAUUUCCAGAAUUUUUGCCUCAAAUUCAAUCACAGUUAGAGCAUGAGCAGCUUCCCAUAGAAGGUUGACAAGCAUUGUGUUAUUGAACUCUUUGCGGAAGCUUUCACUCAAGUGACGCAUGCAAAAUCCAUGAAAAGCAGUCGGAAAAUUUGCUUCCACUCCAUCUACAAUGCCCUUCUGCCUGUCUGACAAAAUUGUAAGCCUCGGCAUGUUUUCUGUAUUAAUCUCAAGGAGGUUAUGAAGCUCAGACAGAAACCACAUCCAAUUCUCAUCAUUCUCUUCAUCAACGACACCAAAUGCCAAGGGAAAAAGAGCUCCAUCCCCAUCAAAGCCAGUAGCAAGAAAUAAAGUACCAAGGUACUUGCUUUUCAAAAAUGUUCUAUCAAGGCCAAGGAGAGGCCGACAGGCAUUCAGAAAACCAUAAAUCGAUGCCUGAAAUGAUAUGAAGAGAUGCUGGAAGCAAUUAUCUGUUGGGUUUCCAUAAACAGAUGCAAUACUCCCAGGAUUUGUCCGUUUAACCUGGUCACAAUACUGGGGAAGCAAGCGAUACCCUUCUUCAAAGGAUCCACGCAUAGCAGCCAUGAUGCGUUCCUUGCCUCUCCAUGCUUGCUUAUAUGAUAAAGUGAUACCAUGUACCCGGUGAAUCUCUUCUAAUAUCUCCUUUGGCCUGUAAUUAGGAUUCUCCUUAAGCCGUUGCUCCACAGAGUUUGCAACCCAUUGGACUGAAGCUUGUUGAUGGCCAAGAUGAGAAAUUCCUCCACAUGUAUGAGACUCAUGGAUGGUCCUGAUUGUGAAAGUUGGAACACCUGGGAGCUUUGCUGCAUGUAUGCGCCAGGGACAUCCCUCAGUUGCACAUUUAGCUGUGAAACGAGUCUUGUCAGAUUUUAUUGUCUGCAUUUCAAAGUGAAGGGCAAUCGCUGUAUCCCUCAAUGCCCUGCGGCAGCUGAAGACAUCUGGAAACUCUUGCCCCACUGCCAGCUCAAAGUUAGGAGCUAUAGAAAGAGUACGGGCCUGAAUAACAGGACUAUAUAGUAUGAGCUGGGACUGCUCAAUAGUCAAAUCCUGAGCAGGUUCCAAUCCCAUUUCCUGCUCCUCGACCACAGUUAGUUCCAGGUUGUCAUCAAGUUCUUGGUUUUCUGAAACAACCAAUUCAUUGUUCUCUGAUAAAGCUAACUCAUGGUUCUGAGCAGAAAGAGCCAGUUCAUGGUCUCCCUGUCCAGGUUUUCGAUCCAUACCUAAAUCAUUCUCAUGCCCAUAACUGUGACCAGCUUCCCCUUCAUCAUCCUGGCUCUGUCCCAAACCCAAUUCAUGGUCAUGAUGAUGUCCUAAAUCCAGUUCAUGAUCAUGUCCCAUACCUAAAUGAUGUUCAUGUGUUUGCCCCAGUUCUACAUCAUGGUUCUGGCCUAGACCCAAAUUGUGAUCAUGGCCUAAGACCAACUGUUGAUUCUGCCUGAGCCCUAAAUUGUGACUUUGCCCAAGUAUCAAGUCAUGGUUAGCCAUUGAAUCUAUCACUCGCAAUAUAUCAGCUGCAACAAAUCAGCGCCUGGAACAAACUAUCAAUUUCAAGUUGAUAUGGUACCCAUAGCAUCAGUGCAAACCUGUCGAGCAAACAAAACUGUAAAUUGAAGAGUCCUUCCAGAUCUUUCACAUCCAUACUCAAAGCUUUAAUAAAAACAUGACUUCACAACAAAAGCACAGAUAAAAAGAUGCAAACACAAGAACAUGCAAAAAUGUGAAAUCCACCCUUGAAUAUGUAACCCCCCCCCCCCCCCCACCACCACACACACAACAAAUGAGCUAUUUAAAAAGACUGUGUCACCCUUUUAUCCCUUCUAGGAAAAUUGCAAUUGCAGACAAAAUACGAAAAGGAAACUAUUUUGUUUCUCCUGUAGAUAAUUAGAUGCUCGGGGACCAUCAUACAUACACACACACGCCAAAGGAACAAACCACCCGAAACUACAGUCCCCUCUUUCUUACAUCCACAGUUUCUAGGCACCAAAACAGCACACAGGAAACCAAGUUUGCGAGGUUUCUGAGAAAAGGAAUAAUUCAAUUAUCUCAAGAAAUAAAUUAAAGAACCCAGAAACAUUAUAAAACAAAAACAAAACUCGAAAUUUAGUCAGAAAUCAUGUCCCAUUGUGAAAGAAGAAAACAGCACUCGUCAUUUACACAUUCCCUUCCGCAACUAUUCAACAACAAUAAUAACUUCAAACAAAAACCAAAAAAUACUCAUCAGUUAAAACACUCACAGGCACAUAAUUGAGACUAAAAAUACAAAACCAAAGAACACACUGGAAAAAAACCCUCACUUGAAACAGAGAUCGUACCAGGACAAGGAAAAAAACAACCUUGACAUAGCAAAACAAUCCAAAAACAAGAACUGGGUUUUGCUCAAAACUACAUGAAACAUAAUCCCAAGCAAUUACUUCAAAAGAAAAACUACCUAAAACCAUAACAUCACAAAAAAAGUCAACCAAAACCCUAGCUCAAAAGCAAAACAAUAUAAUCGGAACCCAGAAAAGAAAAACCAACCUUGAAUAUAAACAUGGAAAAAUAUGAAGUGGGAAUCGAUCAAAAUCUGAACUUGUCAAUUGUAGACACUGGUACAAGUAAAGAUCGAACCCAAAAAUAAAAUUAGGGUUCUCUGUCUGUAAUUAUGUGUUCGGAGAGAAAAAAAAUGGAGAAGGAGAAUUUGAAAAAAGGCGGGUAAGGGAGCAGGGAGAGAUCGGGAAAAAUAAAACAAAGGGAGAGUAGAAGGGCAAGGAGGAGAGAAGGGCGAGAUUGGGAAAAUAGAGAGAAGGGCAGAAGAGGGAGUGUAGGGUUUGUAAGGGCUGAGAAGGGAAAUACAGAGCUGGAUGAUAAGAGACAGACGGGGUAUUUGUGUCAAUGAAAUUUUUAAGGGUGUUUUUUCCUUUGGGUUUUUUGGAAUUAAUGUUUUUUCCUUGGGAAUUUUAUAAUUGCGGCUUCAUGGGGGCAAUGUAUCCAUUUUGCUUUGCUUUGUAUGAGAAAGUAAGACUGUCAACUAUCUUUGAUUUGGUUUUUUACAUUUUUAGGACUCCCAAGCUUUGUGCCUUGAUGUUAGAGUAAAAUAGAACAUAGAUUGAUGCAUGUUUGAAAGUUUGAUAUUAUUUUUUAUUUUAGUACAUCAAAUUUAAAAAAAUAAAAAAAAUUAAUUUAAAAAAUUUAAAAAUUUUUAGAAAUUCUGUUCGACCGCACUCCCAAACACACUCUAAAUGUAUGUGAUGACCAAGAUGAAAUUUUAAAAAAUUUAUUAAACUAUUUAUUUUUAUACUAGUAUUCUUAUAUUUGUUUAUAUUUAUUUUAAUCAUAAUAUCAAACUAUUAUUUCAAUUUCUAACUAUGCUUAUAAAUAAAUUAGUAAGAAUAUAUUAUGUAUGUUUUGAGAAUCAAACAUACUAACUUUAUUAUAAUUAUCAAACUUUAUACAAAAUAAAUUUAAAUUUUAAAAUCCAAACAUUUUAAUUUAAUAAAUUUUCAAAUUUAUUCAUUUAUACAUAAUUCAAAACAACCUAUUAGAUUAAAGAAAAAUACAACAAAAUAAUUUAAUAAUACAGAUAUGAAACAUGUACCAAGAAAACUAGAAUGUUAACAACCAAACAGAAAAUAAACCCUGGCUUGGAAAGUGUCUUAAAUUCGAUCCGUUGUAUAUAACUUUUUUCAUGAAUUAGUAUCGGGUUUUUAUCAAUUUUCAUAUAUAUAUAUAUAUAUAUAUAUAUAUAUAUAUAUAUUUUAUUAACGUGGGUGUUCGGGCCAGUUUGCGCGCAUUUCGAUUAAUUUCACGGGCUCUAAAAUUAACGAGCAUAUAAACCUCCAAUAAUUAUCAUAUUAGCAAUCAUAGAGCUCAAACUUGAAAACACAUAUAAAACAAACCUCGAUAAUUUUCAUAUUUCUUUGAACCUAGAAAUGGAUGUGUAUAUUAGUUAAUUAGGUUUCAUAUCCCAUAACGGAAAAUUACUAAGAGUUGUAAGUGGAAGAUAUAAUUUUUCUUAUAAUAUUUUAAUAUUUUUUCUAUUUAUAGAAUUAAUAUUUUAUGUCAAAACUUGAGUGUUCUUGAACGAUUGAAGAAUAUUUUUUCACAUACAGUGAGAUUGAUCGAAACUGUUACUUUUGUGUCAAUAGAAUCGUAUGCUUGAAUAACUAAAUUAAAAUUCGAAAUUAUUUCAAAUCAUAUCAGUUUCCUCUAAUAUAUUACAACAUUGUAAUGUCAAGAAUUAAAGAAAGAAUAAAAUAGAAUAACCGAUAGUUUACUCAAAAAAUUAUUUAAACUAUGAUUAUAAAAUCCCUUUCUCUAAUAAAUCAUCAGGCAUCAAUCGACUUAAUGAGCACAAUGAGAAAGAGAGAAUAUGGGCUUAAAGCUGAGCUUAAUGAAGUAGAUAAAAGGGUUGCAAACCAAGUUCAAGAAGAGAAAAUAUGGGUUGAAACUCCAGCCCAACAGCAAAGUGGCAAAACAUGAGCAAAAAAAAUCAAAACAUGAGCAAAAAUGCAAUUGUUUUUGGAUUAUUCUCUAAAAUUAUCCUUUUCCUUGUAAAACAUAAAAAUAACAAAACAAAAUCAAUAAUAAAAAGAAGACCGAUGAUUUGGCAAAAGCUGGCUGGGAAAGGUUCAAGUUGAAGUUUUGGAUAAAAUUUGAAGUCUAAUCAUAUCACAUUGUACCCAAGAUUAAAGAGACAAUGAAUAUUUAAGGUCAAAUCAAAUGAUUUUUGGACGGAUUUGAAUAAAAAUAAAGUCCAGGAACAUAAUUAGAUUUAUUUUUAGUAGGUCAAUUUGAUUUAAUCAUGGACCAAAUUAAACGUUUAAUUAUGUUUAAGAAUUAAUUUGGAUCCAAUUAAAAGAUUUAAUUAGGUGCAAGGACUUAAUUAUACUUUUAAUGAGUCAAAUUAAUUUUAUUAAGGACUUAAUUGGUGAAAAAUUAAGUUUGGGGGUCUAAUUUGGAUUUAAUUGAGAAGAUUGAAAUUUUAGAGGAUCAAAUUUAAUUUUUACAAAAUCAAUUGCUUGAAAUCAGGGGUAAAAUUAUAAGAAAAUAAAAGUUUAUGAUUAAUUUGAGGUUAAAUUGAAGAAAUUAAUAGCCAAUAAUUUAUAUGGAAAAGGCGUUGAAUUCUAGGAACUCAAUUUGGUUAAAGACAAGGGUGAAAUUGAAGAAAAAAUAAAGUUUAAUAGUCAAUUGAGGGUUAAUUUGCAUAAAUCUAAGAUUAAUGAUCAAAAUGAAAAGGCUUUGAAAUUCAGGGCUGAUGUUGAAGUUCAGUAGGGGAAAAUUGCAUAAAAUUAGAAGUUCGAGGUCAAUUAGGGAUGCAAUUGAAAGCCGAAGGACUAAAUUGAACUUUAAUCAAAUCCUAAAUUAAAACCCUAAAGCCAAAAUGGAGUCAUUUUGACCAUUAAAAAAAAACCAAACGACAAGUCGUCUGAUUACUAUUCAUCUUCUUUUUCUUUUUGCCUGAAAAUGUUGCUUGGAUGGUUCCUUUUUCAGAGAAUUUAAUACUUCAUCUCUCAACGAAAUUGAAUAAACCCUACACCACUAUGAUGGCCUGAUAUUGUAUUACACCCCAAAAUAGGUCUCGCCGACUGAUUGCCUUUAUAGUAGUUGCAACGCCGCCCCAAAGUGGCCAACUCGGUCUUUUAGCAGCACAUUUUCACAGACUAUGAUGACACCUUUGAGCUAAUAGUUGGAACCCUUCCCACUUGAAUGAAGGGCCAAUACUUGUCUCCGAUGAAGAUAAAAUAUCUCUCUUCCACCCCUUAUUAAUAGGGGUGGGUUCUAGGCAUUCGAGGAGAAGUAAUUCGAGUCUAAAAUAGGCAAAAAAACCAGCCUUUCCCCCUGGUUUUUCACCGGCCAAACUUUCCUCUAUUCCUUUGCCAUGCCUUCUUAAUCGUUGCCACUAUCAACCAUAUGUUGGUCUUCCCAUCACCACCAACUAGCCAUUCCCCAUGCCAAGUAAUCUUCUUUUUCCCUGUUGGUUGCAAAAAUUGCAGUCAUUUGCAUGCAUAACGAGAACCUGUUCUGUAUGUAAAAUAUAAAAUAACUAACAAGGUCGUUGGGUUAGGCCAGUGAUCAUGUGGGCCUUGGUUGAGCCCGUUUUAGCCCAUCUCAGAUGGUUGGGUAAGGUUUAACCCAAAAAAAGAAAAAGAAAAGGAAGAAGAAAGGUUGUUCGACUAUCAGUUAGCCCAACCCAUCUGGGUUGAACCUAUUUUAGCCCAACCCAAUGUUCAUUUUUAUUUUAAAAAAAAGAGAUGGGUCUAUUAGGCCGUCAGUCGCCCCAACCCGACUUGAUUGGGUUCAGUUCAGAUGGCUUGAUCAGGUCUAGCCCACUUAUAAAUAAAUAAAUAAUAUAUAUAAUAAUAUUUAAAAAUUUUCAAUUUUUUCAAAAAGAAAUUUUAAAAAUAUUCGUGGAUCCCUCACAUGUUUUUUUAAUAAUUUUACAUGAUAUCGAGUUGUAAAGUUACAUUAUAAAAUAUAGACUCGGUAUUAAAAGUACCCGAUUUCCUCUUAAACUUAAAAAAAAUCUAAAAAAAUCCAGAAAUUCAAAAAUAAACUUUCAUUUCAAAAAAAAAAAAAUUGUGUUUGGUUUCCAUGUAUACAGUCAAGCCCUAAAGGUUUUUCAUGCAUAUUUUCUAAAAUAAAAAGAUAAAACCACCUUUUUAUCAUGUUUGAAAAAAAAAUACAAAAAUGGAUAUCGUAACCGAUUUAUGAUUAUCCAUUAGGGUUUGAUCAAAAUAUAAAAAUCUUAUUAUAAUUAGUUGAGAGGUCUGUUAGGUCGUCAGUCGCCCCAACCCGACUUGACUGGGUUCAGCCCAGAUGGUUGGGUCAGGUCUAGCCCACUUAUAAAUAAAUAAAUAAUAUAUAUAAUAAUAUUUAAAAAAAAUUCAAUUUUUUCAAAAAGAAAAUUUAAAAAUAUUUGUGGAUCCCUCACAUGUUUUUCCAAUAAUUUUGCAUAAUAUCGAGUUGUAGACUUACAUUGUAAAAUACAGACCUGGUAUUAAAAGCACUCAGUUUCCUCUUAAAAUUAAAAAAAUCUAAAAAAUCCUGAAAUUCAAAAAUAAACUUUCAUUUCAAAAAACAAAAAAACUGUGUUUGUUUCCAUGCAUAUAGUCAAGUUCUAAAUGUUUUUCAUGCAUAUUUUCUACUAUAAAAAGAUAAAACCACCUUUUUAUCAUGUUUGAAAAAAUAUAAAAAUGAAUAUCGUAACCGGUUUAUGAUUAUCCAUUAGGGUUUGACAAAAAUACAAAAAAUCCUAUUAUAAUUAGUUUGUCAUUUAGAAUGCUAUGUCUUAACUAUAUUCAAGAAAUAAAUAAGUUUGGAUCUUAGAAUGAUUAGAAUUACCUAAUAAGAUAGAGACUUCCUUACGAAGGGAGAUUUGCCUUGUAUUUUAGACAAGACCAACGGAUAUGAACACGAAUUAGAAUAACAAUUAAACGACAAUGCAACUUACCUUAGGUAAGGUGCACUGAGGGUGAUGUGUUUUUUCCUUGCACAAUCAGUCUGUUACUCGGACUCUUGCAGACCAUUAGGUUUCCUAGUGACCAUAACACUAGAUGACGACUCUGAACCUUAUAAUUAUAAUUUUAUGAUUAAACCUAAAAUCUAUUUUUCAAUAUAUUUAGGAAAUAGAUCCAUUAUUCGACGUUGUACACAUCACGAUGAUAAUAAUAAUUAAAAAAACUCCUUUUAAUUUCACUAUAAUGGAGUCCCAUGUGUGACACUUUUUUGCACUUUCAGGAUGAGAUUAAUAAUGUGAAAAAGAAAAAUGAAAAUGAAAAUGAAAAUGAUUCUUUACUUUUGAGUUGUUUUGAUUAAAACUUAUAAAUGAUUCUUUUUGAAAAACCCAAAAAGAAACCAAAGAAUUCUCUGCCAUUUGAUGUGAUAUUAUGUUGAGAUGGAUAAAGGGUUUAAUAACAAUAAAGGUAAAUGUGGUUCGGAUUUUUGUGAUAUUAAGUUUUAUGGUUCUACAAAAGAGCAAUAGGAUCCCUUAAUUAUAUGUAGAUAUAUUUUUUUCUUUAAUUUGGAGAAAAUUUAUCUCUUUGUCUAAUUCCAUCAAACUUAACAAUCACGUCAAACAUAUAAUAUAUUAUUGGAAUGAAAUAGGAGAAGGAUUAAUAACAUCAUCUUAAAUUCAAAAUAGAAAGGAUUCAAUCUCUUUUUAUGGAAAUCAUAGGGUUAGAUUGACUGAAAUCAAAAUUAUAAAAACCAUAUCAUUGACCAAUAAGUGUUUUGAGCUAUUGUGAAUUUUAAACCUUCUAAUUUUUAUUUAUUUUUAGAAAAUUGGAUAUAAUUUAGGUUAGCCACAUUUAGGAAGGAUUUGUAUUACACUUAUUUCAAGAUUAAAACUUAAGACACGUAGAUAAAUAUAACUAAUCAAAUAUAGAUAAUACAUAUAUGAGUAUUAUGACUAAUCGAAUAUAGAUAUUCUAUCUAAUAAGUUAGUGAUAAGACUCCCUUUUGAAAUACUAAAUAAAUAUUUAGUAUUUCAAAUCUUAUUUAUUCGGCUAGUUUUUUUUAUUCAACAAUAAUAAGUAUCGUAGAUGUUAGUUUAUUCGUUAAUCAAAAUUUUUUUUUUUGAGCAAUUUUAACCAUACCAACUCCAUGUAUUUAGAAGAAUAAAUUCAUUUAGAUGCUAAUAUUGAGUGUGAAGACAAACUCACAAAACCCUAGCUUUGAUGAGAUGGAGAAAAGACUUAAGGAAAGGAGUUAACAAAGGCUACAAUCAUGACUGCAGAUUAAUGGAGGAUUUGUGGUGAUUCAUGGGAAAAAAUCAUGGCUGGAAAUGGAAUGCGUGUUCCCCCAUCUUCAACUGUAAAUAGAAAUCAUUUGUAAGAGCAAAGGAGAGACAACUGAGUGGAGAAUGAAGGCAGAGAGAGUUUCCUUGGCAGUUGCUGCAAGCUAAAUGAGAGAGAUGAGAGUUGAAUUGAUUAAAUUAUUUCUCCUCCUCAAUUUAUAUAAUUUUUUUUAUUAAUAUGAGUGUCCGAACUAGCUUGCACAUAUUUUGACUAAUCCUAUAAAUUCUGAAGUUAAUGAUCAUAUAAACUUUCAGUGAUCUCGAGAGAACUCGAACUUAUAAAAACAAAUCUAAAACUUGACUAGUUGACUUACUCUCAGAAUUCACUUAUGUAAAUUCUUGUUCUAUGGAUACAGAGGGAAGUUGCCAAACCAUGCUUAGACUUUGCACACCUUUUUACAUGCUUCUCCGGAGACUUUGGAGCUUUUUUUGUUUUCGUUUACUUUUCUUUUACUCCAUGCAUAUCAAAUAAAUUGGAGGAUCACGUACGUGACAUCAUGAGAACCAGUAAAUUUUUUAGUAAUGUCUAGCACUAAAAGUCUAAAUAAAACAGUUUUGACAGUUAAUUUUCGCGGGAAUCUUUGCUGUUCUAUUUUAGUAGUAGUUGAUAAACCAAAAAAAAAAAAAAAGUGGUCUCUUUCAAAUCUUUUAAGCAGUCCUUUUCAAGUCUUUUUUUCAAAGGUCAAUGCUUUCGGUCUCUUGCCUCUCAUCAACAAAGCCGACUUUUAGCUUUUGGUCUGCUUGAAUAUCCUCUCUUGUCUUCUCUUUCGACAUUUUAAUAUUGUCAAUGUCUGAAAACAACGUGCACUGUUGUAUUUAUAAUCCAAUACUUCGAGAAUAAAAAAACAAGUACUUGUCUUGUUUUUGUUUUGUCCUGUUUGAAUCUAUCUCUCUAUUUGUACAUUCCUGUCUGUUUUUUCUUUUUUUAAAAAAAAUUACUGAGAUAACAGCUACAUGGGAUUUGUUUCUUGUCUUGGACGUGAAGAUGGGUCACUUUGACUUGAGUCUCUGGCUCUGAAUUCUUGGUGGUUUCUUGGAUUCUUUACCUGCACAGGUCAGUCUGUUCAGCUUUGACUUUUUUAUUUAUAUAUUUCUUCUUCUUCUUCUGGUUUCGAUCAAGAAUUUAAUGUUAUGUUUUUCUUUGUUAAUAGUAUUGGUUUUGAAUUCCUUACAAGGGUUUUGUUUUGUGUUUUCUUCUGCUAUGGAUGUUAAUUUUUGUCAAAAGAUUUAUUUUAAUCUAAAUAUUUAAAUUGUUAGGUAAUAUUUUAAAAUAUUAUUUAUAUUAUUUUCUAAUAUAUUUUCUCGAGUGAAAAGUUUUUGAGCCUGAAAUUUACAUAAACUCAUAUUAUUUUGUGUUUAAUUUUCAUCAAAUAAAUAGAAAUGAUGAAAUUUGAACUCGUGACUGUUUGAUUAUCAAGAUUUUAAUAUCAUGUCAAAGAACCAUCUCCAUCUAAAUAUUUAAAUUUUUCAAAAUAUGAUUUAUAUUAUUUUUUAAUAAUUUUAAAGACUUUUGAUUUCUGAAAUUCAUCCUCUAAUUCAAUUCUAGUUUUGUGAUUGUUUUUUUUUAAAUAAAUUUUUUUUUUCCUUCUAAGCUUUGGCUAUCUGUUGGUACUUCCAUUUUCAUUUUCUAAUUUUGGCUAAAAUGCAUUUGUUUAAUAGUAAGCUCCUAAUUUGGGUUCUAAAUGGGGUUUUGUGGUUGUUGAUACUGUGAAAAUGGGGAGGUUUUCCAUUAUUCAAAUGUUGACCUGUUAGCUCUGGCUUAUCACGUCACCGGGGUUUUUUCCGUGUUUUUUCGUAUCCUGGUGCAUGGGUAUUGUCUUUUCCUUUGAGUUCUGUCUUUUCUUGUCAAGCUUUGGCUGCACAUUUAUAUUUGCUUUUAUCGAUUUAGAACUUUCUCCCAAAUUAUCAAAAGAAAGAAAAGAAGUUAGAUUUGGAUUCGGAAUCAGAUUAUAAGUUUUUAUCAUGAAAUAGAAUUUGAUCUGCUAGCUUCUGAUGUGGAAACAUGUCUAUGACAUUCUUUUUAUUUUAUGAGUUUCAGGUCUCCAAUAUUCUUCAGGUUUAUUACAGUGUUGAAUCUUGCUUCGGAUUGUUGAACAUUUCAGGAGGGUUGGAGUUUCUGUUCCUUCGAUUAAUCAAUAUCCCAUUCUGAAAUUUUUUAAUCCUGCUGGAGCAUGGCUGCCAGUGGGGUUUCAUCUAUUCAAUCAAAGAAAAAGUCCUGGAGUAUCAGCACUGCUUUGGCAUCUGCUGUUUUGGAAUGGUUGCUAAUGUGUAUGCUCUUCACCAAUGCUAUUUUCUCGUAUUUAAUUACAAGAUUUGCAUGUCAAUGGGAAUUGCAAACCCCAUGUUUGCUAUGCUCAAGACUGGAUCAUAUUCUGGGCUCUAGAAAGUUGAGAUAUUAUUGGGAUUUGAUCUGUGGCAAUCAUAAGUUGGAGGUCUCAUCCCUGGUUUUCUGUCACGCUCACAACAAUCUCGUCGAUGUCCAUGGAAUGUGUGAAAAUUGCCUUUUCUCAUUUGCCACCACCAAUAAGUCCAAUGCUGAAACAUAUAGAUUGUUGGUUGGGAAGUUGGGGGAGGAUUCUAGCUUUGGUUUAGAUCAGGACCCACUACUUGAUGAUCAUAGUUCAGUUGCGAGACUAUGUUCUUGUUGCAAUGAACCAUGGAUUCCGAGAGGAUAUUUCCAAAACUUGAUGCGGGCUGCAUCAGUUGGUUCCGGGGCUGCUAAUCUUGAUGUCCCUUUGUCAGGUACCAUUAAACAUGAUUGCAGUAACAUAAAGAAAAGUAAAAGAUCUACAUCCAUCAGAAGCACCCGUCGAAAAACUACUGGGUUUGAUCCUUUAUCUCAUGUAGGUUACACUGAACUCAAGUUCAUUUCUGAUACUGAAUCUGAAGUCAUGUUUUUUUCUGAUGAUGGUGGUGCAAAUGCUGCAACUCGCAAAGAUAUUUCAGUUGGAUACGUGCAGCCAGAGCCUCGCACUAUCAUAUUAGUCGAUGAUUCUGCCUCAGAGAAACUGAUUGAUCCGGUCACUGCACCUGAGCCAUCAAUUUUGACCUCGAAGGUGCUAUCAGAUGUUAUCCAGUCCCACAACGUUACAGCAACAGCAUCUGCAUUUCCUAUUGGGCAUGAUUUGGAAGAGCUUAAAUGGCAACAAGCUGAUUGGAAGGCUAAUUCCUUUGCACUUCCUGAGUUCGUUUCCCAUGAUAAACUUCCUCCAUCAUCAAUUUCCAGAGACAGCCCUCGAAAAGCGUCAAAAGGAAGAAAGCAAAUUUCUCUAGACGAAGUUCCUCGAUCAUCAUAUGUCAAAGAAACUCCAUUGGAAGCAUCGAAAGAAAGCAAGAUUAUUUCGGUGAACAUUGUUCAUCCAUCAUCAAAAUGGAGAGGGAAUCCUGUCAAAAUUUCAGAUGAGAGAAAGCUUAUUUCUCUUGCUGACUUCCUUCCAUCAUCAAAUGGAGCAGAAACUCCUGUUCAAGGAUUAAAAGAGAGAUGUAAGUACAAACUCCUUCUACAAAAUUGUGUUGGUGUUUCUUUUAUAAACAAAGGAUGCACUGGGAUAAUAAAAAACGGAAAAGAAAAAAAAGCUCCUUUCUAGUAUAUAAUUGUAUAGAAUACAAAUAUGAACACAUGCCUUAGUAUACAGCAGUUCUUUUUCUCAAGUAAUAAAAUAACGUUUGAGUUGCACCCAAUACAUAUUAAGGAUAUCCGAGAAAUAUCAUUUACACAUUCAAAUGCUUAACAUGUUUAAGAAUUAUGCGAUACACACCAGGGAGAACUUGAACUUGAAGCAAACUCCUUAUAGGGUGAUGGAAUUUGAGAAUGAAUAAUUUUAUUCUGUAGGGGCCACAAAGCAAGCCCAAAUUAUUGUGAAUGAUGCUAAUUCAUAUUUUGGUCACCUUCUCAUACUUAAUUGCUAUAUUCCACAGGUAUAACCAGAGAAGUGGAAGAUUGGCAGGCAUAUGUGAUGGAUUGUGAGGAUCUCUGCAAGGCAGAAAGUCAGCCAGCUAGAAGAACUGAAACAGCUUCAGAAAUAAACCCUCUUUCAGGUGAAAAUGGUCAGCAAUUUGCAAACUUAUUGGAUCUCAGUGAUGCUUAUAAGCUAUCUGUUGGCAAUAGGGGAAGGCAGUUGUCUGGUGUUCUUGCUGAACAAAGGACUGGGAAGGAUUCUUCAAGAUUUAGCGAAGAGUUGAAGCUUUUACUUUCACAGCUCUCCUCUUCUAGAGACCAGUCAAUGAAUGCUAUCAGUCCUAGAGUUCCUAUCAGUCCUAGAGUCCCUGUUAGUCCUAAAUUAUCAUCAAACAGUGAUGAAUUAAGGAUUUCUGAUGCUUCUAGUGUCUUAGGAAUGCAUAUUCUUCAAAAGCGAAUCACACUUGAAAGAAAUGAAUCUUGUCUAUCUUUGGAUGAAAGUAUUGUCAGUGAAAUUGAAGGUGAAAGUGCCGUUGAUCGGUUAAAACGGCAGGUUGAGCAUGAUAAAAAACUGCUCAGUGCAUUGUACAAGGAAUUGGAGGAAGAAAGGAAUGCAUCCACAAUUGCUGCAAAUCAAGCUAUGGCCAUGAUUACUAGACUACAGGAGGAGAAGGCAACACUCCACAUGGAAGCUCUGCAAUACCUAAGAAUGAUGGAGGAGCAAUCUGAGUAUGAUACGGAGGCCCUGCAAAAAAAGAAUGACCUUCUCACAGAGAAGGAGAAAGAGGUCCAAGAUCUAGAAGAGGAGCUUGAGUUUUAUAGGAGUAAGUUCCCCGAUGAAUCAAUCUUUCAGACACCGACUUCUGAUAGAAAGGAAACAGGUUCAAGUGCGGAUCACUCAGAAGCUGGCUGGAUAGAAGAUAGCACAACCACAAAUAGAAACUCGGUUACAGAAAAACCUAAUGUCUGCCAUAAAGUUGAAGCGACGAAUAUGUCACUUGGGGAUAAGAAUAUCGUUACUGUGAAUAGUUCUUUGUUAGAGUUUGAAGAUGAAAGGUCAUAUAUUACACAAAGUUUGAAGAGGUUGAAAAGGAAGCUUUAUCUGUUAUCUAACAAUGGGCUAAGCUUAGACUUGAUCAACGGUGAACAUUCUGAAGGAGAAAAAGGAAAUGACUUGAGGGAGCUGAAUAACAAAGUGGGUGUUGAACAGAACAUUGGGGCAGAAAAGAAAGAGUUAUCAAUGACUGAUAGAAGAAGCGAGCCUGUUCAAGGACAUGUUUCUGCACUUGAGAAAUUUUUCAUUGGUAACGAGAACAAUGAGGUUUUUUAUAGUGGGGAAAGCUCUCCUAUGCCCCCUCGAGAAAUUGAUCUAGACUCUCUCGUAAAUGAAGUUUCUGAUAUAAGUGAGAGGUUGGAAGCUCUUGAGGCAGACCGGAAUUUCCUUGAACACGUCGUUAACUCAAUCAGAUAUGAUGAGGAAGGGCUUCAUUUUAUUAAGGAGAUAGCUUCUCACCUGAAAGAAAUACGAAAGAUCGGGAUACCGAAAAGGGAGCAGGAGCAAAUCACUGCUUAAGGCUGUUGUAUAAAAACCAUGACAAAUGUGAGUACUCCAAUGCAUUCUUUCUUUGCGUUAGAGACAUUUGAUUCAGAAUUUCUCAAGGUUCUUUUGAUUAUGCAGUUCAUUGCUUUCGUGCUUUAUUUUAUCAGGUGCUUCGUUAUGCAAAAAGACAUUGAUGCGCAGGAAAGUAUAGAAAAUUUGCCAAACCUGGCAAAGAAGAUUGCAAUCAAGUGUACAGUAUCACAAGCUUGUUUGUUUUCUCUCUGGACAGAAACCAUAGGAUUGAAUAUCAAAUACUUUCAUCUCUCAUUAUUCCUUGGCUUGCAGUAAUCACAAAUUCAGUGAUAUUAAUACCAAUUCCCUUGCCCCCUUCAGACCUGCGUUUGGAGGGGUUUUCUUCUUUAUUUUUCAGGUUUUGAGUGUGAUUAGUGAAUGCAUUGUAGUGCAAUAGUUUAUUUUUGUAUUUGUAUAUUAAACUUGACCAUUCAAAUAUUACAAAAGUGAAAAAUCAAUAAGCCAACAUUAUGUACUUGUAAAUUUGAAAGUCCCAGUGAUUGAGAUUUUUUUUUGUUGUUAAGAUUUUAUUUAUAAAAAUCUUUUUAAAUAAAAAGGAUCUAACAAACAUAUCAGAUACAAAAUAUUUGAUCUUGAUAGUCAAGUAAGUUUAAGGUAAUGUUGGUUAAGAAAAUAUGCCAGAUCUACUUGGACUCAACAGUCAGUCAAGCCCAAGAUAAUGUAGGUAUACAAGAUAACAUGGGUUUGACGAACAUAUCAAACCCAAAAAACUUGAACAGUACCAAGUUCUAAGGCUAUAUGUCUGAUUCUGGACAAUCUUCUACAAUAUAAGUAUUAAAGACAUGUUAAACCAUCAUGCCUAUCAAUUUAGAAUAAUCAUUCAUAUUAAGGUAAUAAUUUUCCUAUAUUUAUAGGUGUGUAUAAGGUCUUUUAAAGGACUUACCAUACUUAUUAUCUUGUUAAUGAUACACCUCUCAUUAAUGUCACUGAAAGCAGAGAACUUUCUAGUUUUUCUCUUUUUUAAAAACGAUAAGGUUCAGGGGAUAUAAAUAUUCUCUCAACCAUCCAAAUAAAAGGUUCAUAACUAUUCAUCUCUUAAGUCUUAAUAAGUAAUAAUAAGUAGUUACAUUUCUGUUAAACAGAACAAAAAUGAAUAGGAAGAAAAGCAUGGCAUUAAGGCUUUACACUAUCACACUAUGAAAGCUUUUGAUCAUCAAGCUAUAUUUGAGAUUGUGAUAGCGGUUGUUUUUUAAAGUGUUUUUUAUUUAGAAAUGCAUUAAAAUAAUUUUUUUUGUAUUUUCUAAAAUUUAUUUUGACAUUAGUACAUCAAAGCGAUUUAAAAUAAUUGCAUUUGACUACAUGAAUUAUAUACUAAUAAUAAGUACCUGCACUUCUGCUAGACAAAAAAAAAAAAAAAACAGGAAAAAAAGCAUAGCAUUAGGGCUUCACACUAUCACACUGUGUAAACUUUUGAUCAUAAAGUAACAUUUAAGAUUGUAAUACUGGUUGUUUUUUAAAAUAUUUUUCAUUUAGAAAUGCAUUAAAAUAAUUUUUUUAAAAAAUUUAUUUUUAACAUCAUCAAAACAAUUCAAACUCAUAAAAAAAAACAAUUAAAAAAAAUCAAAAAAACUUUUAAAAAAUUUUAAAUACAAAAAUAAACACCCAAUCACUCUGGCCGGUAAAGCAAUAAAACACCCACUCGAAGUUCUUUUCCAGGCAUUUACAAUUGGCAUAGGUUUUUUUUAUUGUCCUUAAAAUUACUCUAACUAAAAAUGGUAGCAUGGAACAAAAAUCAUAAUUCAAAUAAACAUAAAAUAUAAAUUUGAACCUUAUUAUUCUUGUACCAUACAUCAGCAUGAAACUCUCGAUAAUAUUUAAUAAAUAGAAAAUGACGAGUCCUUUUAAGGACUAAAAUAGUUUUACUUUUAAAGAUUGAAUUUUUUUUUUUUUUUUUUAGUUUAAUUCCUCUUCAAUUGAGUGUUUCAAGCUCACUACAACACAAGCUGCUUGAAAGUAUCACAGUUCGAAACAUUGGCUAAACACAUGUGGAAAAAAACAAAAAGAAACCUAGGAAGCAAGUGUCUAACGUUUGACACUCCAUUACCUUCCUAGUUACUAGUUACAGUACAGACAAAACCCCUGCCACAAAACCCGCCUCAGGUACAAGGAUGAUGCUUCUGCAACAGACAACCUCAGUGCCAAGACUUGUAGUGUUUUCAAAAUCUGAUUUUUGUUUCAAGCCUUGUUCUUCCUCUUCAACAAGAUUAUCUUUCAUGGACAAGCACACCAACUCCUCUUCUUCUUCCUCUUCGCUAAAACAGUCUCUCAAACAAUACCAAAGUCCAGUCGUGGCUUGUCAAGCAUCAACUGACACUAACGAUACUUCUUUCAGGUUCGUGCCCAUAUACCAAUUUGUUUUCUUUUCUUUUUAUUGAAUUUUAUCAGCACCCAGAUGGAUUUUUUGCAUGUCUUAUUCAAGUUUGUGUUUUCAUUGCCUUUUGGUUUUAUUAUAUAGUGCCCUGAUAGAAUUUUUGAUAGAAAAUAAAUAUAAAAAUAUAUACCUGUCUUGGUUGGUAUCUUGUUGGAGCUGAGUGAUUAGAUUGUUUGAUGUGGUGAAUAUAGGAAAGAUUACUUGCCAAUUCAUGGAGUGUCCGAGGUGAUUGUUGGUGUAUUGGGAGGUGGGCAAUUGAGCCGUAUGUUAUGCCAAGCAGCUUCAGAAAUAGCUAUUAAAGUCAUGGUUUUGGACCCACUUGUGAAUUGUCCAGCGAGUUCGAUUGCAUAUGAUCAUAUGGUUGGAAGCUUUGAUGAUAGUGCAACGGUUCAGGAAUUCGCAAAAAGGUUCGGUAUUGAUGGAAUUCAGUUGUGGGUAUUGGAGAUUUUGUGUCCUUUUGUAUUUAAUUUUGUCAUUGUGGUGUUGUAGAUGUGCAGUGUUGACUGUGGAUAUUGAACAUGUUGAUGUUGCUACGAUGGAGAAGCUUGAGCAGCAAGGAGUUGAUUGCCAACCAAAAGCUUCUACUAUUAGAAUUAUCCAAGUAUGCCCCUUUUAAUUUUCAGAGUUAACUGGUUAUGCUAUUUUGCAAACCAUAUGCUACUUUGGCAUUUAGACUUACUUUGUAAGGAAUUUUGAUUUGACUUUAAAACCAAAAACGAUUUUGGCUUCAAGAUGAAAUUUCUUGGUGGAUCCUUGUUUUCAAUCUUACAGGAUAAAUAUCUCCAGAAGGUUCAUUUUUCUCAGCAUGGGAUUCCCCUUCCUGAUUUUAUGCAGGUUGGUUGCUGUUUAUAAGUAUUUCCCUGGAGGAUGCUACCUACAGUUUUCAUUACCUAUUAUUAGCUUCAUAUGCUCUAGUUAACUGGUAUUGAAGUAUGACUGAUACAGAUUGAUGAUCUAGAAGGUGCCAAGAGGGCAGGUGACUUAUUUGGCUAUCCUCUAAUGCUCAAGAGCAGAAGGCUAGCUUAUGAUGGGCGUGGGAAUGCAGUUGCUAAGAAUGAAGUGGAGCUUACUUCUGCAGUAAAUGGUAGGAUGUUCUUUACUGAAGUUCAAUUACUAAAAAAUUCAGUAUCCUAUUUAGGCUUGAGAAAGGCUACACUUGUAUUCCUAUAUGCUAUUGAUUAAUAGCAGUUUAGUAUCCACCAUUUCUUAAUUGUCAUUCUAAAUGUUAAGGAUCCAAAUGCUGUGGCUACAGAAGAUCUAUCAUACGUUUUAAUAAAGGCUAUUUUCAUCUUUUGUUCUUUUUGUCUGGAUUAGGCACAGGUAAAUCAUAAUUGCUAUUUGGCUUGUGGAGACCCAACCAAAAGAUGUUAUAGACCUUUAAGCUGGGUUUUUUGGGGUUUUGGGUGUAGAAUCAUACAAAAUGAAACUGGCCCCUCCCAGGGCGUUGGAAAUAUAUUUGAUGGCAUUAUCAAAUUCUUGGAAAGAAUGUGAAAGCCAACUCGUCUAGUUUGGACCCAUUAAAUGGAAAAAUUACCUCCUCUUGACAGUCAGGAAUCUGUGUGAUUGUGUCAUGGUUUAGAUUAUGCUAUAUUCAUGGUGUCUAGAGCUCAUAAUUUCAUAUAUGUUAAUCCAAGGCAACAACAGGAAAUUGUUUCCCUCGUAUCCUUAACAACUUUAGCAAAGAGCUGUUGAGACCUGGUACAUUCUUUGCCCAGACAGGAAAGGUUUUCAAUAGCUUGACUUAAUGUUUUUGAAUGAUUAUGCUUUACAAUCUCUCUUGUUAAUCCUCAUCUUUUCAUAGUUUUUGAUAGUUUUCUUGCAUAUACUGUAGGAAUUAAGCUUGUCUGACUACCUGCUUCAUCUCUCCAUUAUUUCUCCAACCUUUCUUUGUCAUACUUGCUUACCUCUCGUCAUGUUCAUAGUCAUAUCGUUUUGAAUGUCUAGGUGAUUUUGAACAGUGGCUGGCAGUUGACUUCUUAUCAUUUUAUGAUCAAGGGCGUUUCUUGCUAAAUUCUUCCUUGAACCUCAUAUAUCUAGCCUUGCCAUUUCAAUUAUAUCGAAUGAUCUACUUUAAUUUCCUCAUCCUUGCUGCAUUUCAUGCCAAGUUCGUGGCUCUUAUUUUUAUUUUCUAUAUGGAAAUAGGUUGUGGUGGAUCAACUCCUUUUUGUAAUGUAAUAUUUAUGAUACUUUCCAAUUUCCAGCUCUUGGAGGAUUUGCUCGUGGUUUAUAUGUUGAGAAAUGGACUCCCUUUGUAAAGGAGCUAGCUGUCAUUGUGGGUAGAGGAAGAGACAAUUCCAUCUCCUGUUACCCUGUUGUUGAAACUAUCCACAAGUAUGAUACAGAUAUGACAUUUCCAUGUUCUUUCUCGUUGCUAUUUUUUGGUUUUCAGUGCAUUUGGUAGCAACAAUAUUUGAGUUUGUCAGAUGUGUUUGAUGUGAUAAUGUUUAUCAAUUCUUAUUGUUGCAUCUGCUUGCAUCUGAUUGAAGACAUUGGGUCUUGCAGAGAAAACAUUUGUCACAUAGUUAAGGCUCCUGCUCAUGUACCAUGGAAGAUCAGAAAACUUGCCAUUGAUGUUGCACAUAAAGCUGUUAGCUCAUUAGAAGGUGCUGGUGUGUUUGCAGUGGAGUUGUUUUUGACAAAGGAUGGUCAGGUUGUGCUUGUAAUUCAGACUGUUAGAUUUUCUCUGCAAUGCAUUUCAUUAUUCUCGGUCUCAGGAACUUACUGUCUUUGACUAACUUGUUGGUGUUUUCCCUUCUGAACAGAUUUUACUGAAUGAAGUAGCUCCUAGACCUCAUAAUAGUGGUCAUCACACAAUUGAGUCCUGCUACACCUCACAAUUCGAACAGCAUUUGAGAGCUGUUCUGGGUCUUCCACUUGGUGAUCCAUCAAUGAAGACUCCAGCUGCUAUCAUGUACAAUCUACUGGGUGAAGACGAGGUGAAUUGUUUUCUUCUCCAUUUCCAGUUUUUCUUUUCACAUUCCAUUUGUUUAAUCUUUAAAAACUAUAUUAAGAACAUUGGUGGAGACUUUUGUUUCCAGGUCACAUGUUUGAACAUCUUUUUAUCAUAUGCACACCCACAACUAAGCAUAUGCACUCAGAUAGAAUUUGGUUACGUGUGUGUUAAGAUGUGUGGACUGCUAUAAUGUAUUUGGUGAUUUCAAAAAUGGUUGCACGAGGCAACUUACACAAAGCAUUGACCAAAUAUCUUGUAUGAUCUGAGGGCCAAUCUGAGGAAAGGGAAAGCUAGGACAUGAUUUGAAUAUUAACUUUGGAUCUUGGGUGGGGAUUAUCGAUAUUACGUGCAACCAAUUUCUUGAACUUGGGGGCAUCAAAUAUUUUUAACAUAUUGAAAAUUGGAAGAGGAGGCUAUUCAAAGUUCCUAGCUAAUAGUGAGUUCGCAAUAGAAGUCAUUCGAAGUUGGCAUGUGACAUGAGCUUCUGAGUUUAUAAUCCUUUUUUCUAAAUAUUUGUUCACUUCUGGUGCUCAUGGAACUCUGAUUCAAUUCCAGAGUUGUAGGAUUCUCCAUUGAUUGCAUGGGUGGGUGCUUCGGGCUUGGGUGGGCAUUUUGUUUUGUUAGUUGGAAAAUAGGCAGCUCCUCCAUAAAUCAACAUUAAAAAUGUUGUCAAAAUUUUGCUAUGUUAUGUUGUUAUUUAAUUGGCUAGUGACAAUGUUUAUACUUUUAGGGUGAGCCUGGUUUUCAGUUAGCUCAUCAGCUGAUUGGAAGGGCAUUGAACAUGCAAGGGGCUGCUGUUCAUUGGUACGAAAAACCAGGUUUGUUUUUCAUAAAUUCUAUAAAUUACCCAAUUGCAUUCUUUCUCCUUCUCUCUUCUUCUUCGUUAUCAUAAUAAUUGUGCAGAAAUGCGAAAGCAACGAAAGAUGGGUCAUAUCACUAUUGUUGGCUCUUCUGCGGGCAUAGUAGAAGCACAGUUAAAAUCAGUGCUGAAGGAAGAAGGUUCCGAGACUCAGACCGCAGGUAGGUUUUCCUAGCAUGGCCUGAUCACUGUACUCAAUCUGUAUGGCUAGAUGACAUGUUCUAGCUGUAUGGUUUUCCUCACCUUCUCUCAGAGCAAAUUUCUGCAAGUUGCAUUAGAAGUAUGUAUCUGUCCAUACGUUAAAAUGGAGAUUAAUGCCCCCCCUUCUAUUGUUCAAUCAGGUUCAAUUUUUGGAUUCAUGUUAAUUCUUAAUUUCUUGGAGAUAGGUACUAGGGGUGGUGGACUUUUCUUGUUGUUCAUUAUGGAGGCUCUACCGUCAUGAAUAUAAGCACAAUUAUGAUCAGUUGCAUAUUUUUUUCUGGUUAUUAAUUACUAUUAGACCUUACUGUUAUGCUUUAUGAGAUAUCUGUUCUUUCAGUUUAGGUUGAUUGUGUUUCCUGUUUGUUAAAAUGUAGUUACGCCAUGUGUUGGGAUCAUUAUGGGCUCUGAUUCAGAUCUUCCUAUUAUGAAGGAUGCUGCGAGGAUUUUGAAUACGUUUGGUGUGCCUCAUGAGGUUUACUUUCAAAUUUGCAUUUUUUUUUCCUGGAAUGCGCCAGCACUGGUUUCUUUUGGUCCAUGUAUACCAGACAUUCAUGGUUAACAAUAUAUAACAUGCAGGUGAGAAUAGUAUCAGCACAUCGAACUCCUGAAAUGAUGUUCUCUUAUGCCCUGUCUGCUCGGGACCGAGGCAUUCAAAUCAUCAUUGCCGGUGCUGGUGGCGCAGCUCACUUGCCAGGCUAGUUACAUAUAUGCUAUGCUUUUUAUAAAAUAUUAUGUUUGUCAACUUUCUCACUGUCCAUAAUGAAGCAUCGGUUUAACUUCACAGGUAUGGUAGCUUCACUAACCCCCUUGCCUGUUAUUGGUGUCCCUGUGCGUGCUUCUGCUUUGGAUGGAAUGGAUUCGCUCUUAUCAAUUGUACAGGUACACUAUUUUAUCGUAGAUAAUAUAAAUUUCUCAUGAUACCCAAUGUCAAAAGUACCAGUGACCUCCAAUUCUAGCGUUCUAAGUUCUAAUACUAGUUUAUUUCCCAAAAUGGGUGCAUGGGAAAGUAGACAUGUCCAUUUCCUUUCUUUAGAUGCAUUUUUUUUUUUUACAGGGAGGGGAGGUUUCUAUUCUACUUUGAAAGGAAGCUAUAGUUGUUUGUGACUUUGGUGGGAAUUGUAAAUGCAAGAUUCUUUGGUUUGGUAUUAUCACUUAUAUUUCCUAGGUUCAGUUACUCUAUAAUGCAGGUAAAAGAAUGAGAGCAGAUUUUAACACCGUGUUUAUAUAAGUAUAGAACAUAACCCCAAGUUCCCAUUUAAAUCAGGAAGUUAUAAGGAUGAUUUUGCCAUCCAACACAGAAUCUGCAGUUUGACCCUCGUUGCAGGAAGUCGGUGUCUAACAAUAAUAUCCCCAGAUACAAUCCAUUACUAGUAUUUAAUGUUUGUUUCAUUGUUUUUUAAUUUUCUAAUUUCUCUGUCAUUAAAGCCUUUGUUGCUCUAUUAUUAUCCAGAUGCCAAGGGGAGUCCCUGUUGCAACUGUGGCAAUUAAUAAUGCCACAAAUGCAGGUUUGCUAGCUGUAAGGAUGUUGGGUGUCGGUGAUGCUGACCUUUUGGCAAGGUUCUCUCUUUCUUUCUGUUUGUGUGUGUGUGUGACAGUAUAACAAUUGAAGGUGUCCCUAACGUUUCCUUUUUGAUUUGCAGAAUGAGCCAGUAUCAGGAAGACACAAGGGACGAUGUCUUGAAGAAGGCAGAAAAACUACAAACUGAUGGUUGGGAAUCAUAUUUGAAUCCUUGAGCACCAGAAAACUUGUCUGGUGAUUUUUGUUUUCUGUCCCUUCUGUGUGAUGGACCACAAUCUUGAGAGUUCCAUGUCUACCAUUGAAAUUCCUUCAACUUAUCUCUACACAACAAUUUUGUAUCCGCAAAAGGAUCAUGAGUUAGUGUAGCAGAUACCAAAAACCUGCCGCAGGCGUAUUGAAUUUAGGUGUGAUGCAUUUGGGGUCACAGUGGAAUAACUGAUUACUUUUCUGAUAAUUUUGUAGCAUAUUGGAAGGCUGAAAAGGAGAUAGUUUUUAGAUAGAUAGAUAGAGAGAGAGAGAGAGAGAGAGAGAGAGAGAGAGGGCCUUGUAUCCAUAAUUGUAUGAUACCUGUUUUUUCCCUGAUCAAUAGUCAAUUAAAGUUAGUUCUUUCUGUUUGUGCUGAGAACCAGUUCGUUUCUUUCUUCUCCUGUUUGUCCAUUGAGGCUUCACAAGUCUCACAACCUACACUGUAAAGCAUGUUUAGCAAGGUGAUGGCAACCAUGUUCCUCAGUAUUCUCGAGCGAUCCCUAACCUGCCAGGAAAGCAAAUCGAGAUCCCAAAUUCCCUGCUUAACACGUUAACAGUAACUGGGCAGUUGAAACUCUUUAACAAUUGGCUGUCUUGUCUGGGACAGUGUCAAACCUUGACUUUGUCAAGAUCCAAGAGGUUCUCCAUUCAAUUACGAGUAUUGAUAGAUGAACUAAUUUCCAUGCCACCUUGGAAGACCGCUACAAGUAAAUUUGUUUGAAGUCAGAAGUCGAAGUCAUGAAAUCAAAACUCAGGCGAGGCAUUGCGGCCCGAAUUGAGCUUGCAUGUUGAUCCUUGCACGUCACAGUACUUCACCGCUGACCAAGGGAAGCGGAAAAAGGUGUAAGGUGAUGGCAUUAGACAGGUUUCAAAUAAUGGAAUAGACAUUAGUCGCAGCAAACUGAUGACUAAAGGGCAUGAGAGAAGCAGAAUAAGGAGCAAGGUGAUGGCAUUAGGCAGCUUUUCAAAUAAUGGAAUGAACAUUAUUAGCAGCCAGCAGCAUAGUGCUAAAGUUCCAAGGACUGAGUUUUUUUUUUUUAGAGUAUGAUUGAGGGUGUUUUUAAAAGUAUUUUUUACUUAAAAAUAUAUUAAAAUAAUUAUUUUUACAUUUUAAAACUUGUUUUUUUUUAUAUAUACAUUAGCACAUUGAACUAAAAUACUAAAUGAGCCGAAGAUCAUAACUCUCUUGUAAAGAUACGAGUGAACAAGUUUGGCCGGAAAAGAUGCCAUGCCUGCCAUGACCGUCAAUACCCGAUUGAAUUCCUCCGUCUCUGUGGUGGUAAGAUGUUUCACAUCAAUGGCAGAGGGUCGAAAUCAAAAUCCAAUUGCAUUCACAUUUCAUGAGAGGGGGUUUGUGCUGUGAAUGCCUGGUCAACCAUUAGAACGAAGCAGAAAAAUCUACGUAUUGGCCAUAAUUCUUUUUAUUUCAUGAAAAAGUCAAUUGACCACCCAGGAUUUGACCCCAAAUAUGGAAGAGAAAUAUAAUAAGGCACUCAAGAUGAAAUGCGUCAAAUAAUUUUACAAAUUAAUUAAGCUAGUUCUUGACAAAGUGUUUUUUUUUUUAUUAUUAUUAUUAUUUCCUUUCUCUAUUGAUUUUACGGCUAGAUCAUAUUAUUAUACCAUUUUUUGUGCAAAAAACAUAUGCAUGAUACAUUAAUUAUAACUACUACAUAAAUUUAUUUAUUUACUAACAAAUUACACCACAUGUAAUCUCUCAAAAAUAAAAAAAAUAAUAAAGAUUUGCUACCAAGACUACCCUGAUUUUUAAUUUGGUGCAAUUAUAGAAUAUAUAAUAUGGAUAAAGAAUGAAACAACCUAGAUUAAUCACAAUAAAACAUAGUACAUGGUUCAAAGAUUAAACAAACUAAAUAAAAUCAAAGAUGUAUAUUUAAUAGAUAAUAAAAUUUAUUUAUUGGUAAAUAACUAUAGAAAACUAUUGGAAAAUCAAAAAGAAUAAAUAUAUAUGUAUUAUAAAUUAGUUAAAUAAUAUGCACACAGGAAGAAAGUAGAACAAUGAAGAACACGAGUAUGGACCCAAAACGGCAAUUGACCAACAGCAAAAUGUUCCCAAAACGAAGCCCAAAUAACAGCAGGCUCCCUUAGUGGGUUGAGAAAGGAGAAAUUGCCUCCCACUCCCAGAAUUCCAUGGAGGACUCCUUCAACCUUUGAUUUAUAUAAAAGUAAGGACUUGUUUGUUCUUCAAGGUCCGUGUCUUUGAUUUUUACUCUCUUCUCUCCAUUCAAACUUCAAAUCCGCGGCCAUAAGUCAACACAUGACAUAUACUGCGAAGCAACACCACCACACCAUGCCUUCAAAUAUAAACCCCCCCCUCCUCCUCCAUUGGCACACACCGCAACUUACCUACCUAGCCUUCUUCGUCCUCAAGAACACCCGUCUAGCUAGCUCUUUACACAUCCCAUAACAUUGUUGUUGUUUUUGUUUUGAGUCUGUCUUCUCUGAUUUCACAAAUGGGUUCUCAAAGAAGAAAUCAGUGCUUAACGGUAAUGAUUUUUGUUACCAUUGUUCUUGGAUCAUGUUCUCAGCAAGUAUUGGCAGCUAGGCCAUUGGAAGGAGAACGGUGGUCGGAGAAGAUUGUUGGAAAUAUCCAGUCUCUCCAAAGGGGUCCGGUUCCACCAUCUGGGGGGUCUCCAUGCACCCAUAUUCCUGGCCGUGGUAGUGGCAAAUGCUCCUUGGGUGAAAUGAAUUUUGCUGGCCAUACUGUUGCUCUUGCACCACCUGCCUUUCCUGACGCCAUCAUGAACUUCGGCGCCGCAGCUUCUACCACCAGUGGAACUCAUAAACAAGAUUCAAGCUCUUGAAUAUCGGUCUUAGGGAUUGAAUUAAUUAUACAUGCAGGUUCUUUCCAAGUUGUGAAUAGCCGAAAUAAACGAAGGAUGGAGAUGCUCAGCUUUAACUUCAUACUUUCUUAUUUUUUUAUUUUUUUUUUAUUUUUUUUUGGAGCAACCACACUUGAAAAACAAGAUGGUGGUUUAGAAACAAAUGAUAUUUGAUGUUUAUUCAUUUUACUUCAAUGAAUAUUUAACUUGAUUCUUUUAGAUUAUAUAUUAUGCUGUCUUGUUGUAAUUGUUCAGAGAGUUUUGGAAAAGAAAAGAUAUAUAUAUAAUUAGUUCAAUUACAUCAUUAAUCAAAUUCCAUUUCAUUUAAAUCCUUGUUUGUUUAUGCGAUUAUACCGUGUUUGUAAGAAAAAAUAAAUUUUUAUUUUAUUUUAAAUUAAUUUUUUAUAUUUUUUUAUUAUAUUGAUUUUUUAAUAUCAAAAAUCAAUUUUUAAAAAUAAAAUAAAAAUUAUUUUAAUAUAUUCCAAAACAAAAAUUGAAUUCUCUUGUACAGCUUAAAUAUGAAAUUUUCCCUAUGUAUUAUUUUACUACAAGAUUCAAUAUACUUUACUCUUACUUUAAUUUGUUUCAAUUAUAAUGAAGCCAUUAAUUCACACUUAUAUAUCAAGAUGGAUCAAAGAUUCAUGAGCGCAGACAACCAAAAGAAGAUUCAUGAGCAGUGGUGAAGACAGCUUUGUUUCACUUUUAAACAUGAUUGAUACACACAGUACGUUGAUAUUUUCAACGAAACAAAUUAUUAAAAAGAAAAAAAAAAGUUAAAAGUAUUUUGACAAGUUUGGGCGUCGUUUGACCUUAUAUAUAACGUCGGUGUGUGUUACAAAUUGCACAGAAACCUUUGCGAGGAGGAGGGUUUUGACUAGGAUUGAUCUGAAAACAAAUUAUGAAAAAGAAAUUCCGGCUUUCAUAAAGAAAAAGUGGAAUUGAAACUCAGAGAUGACGGUAUAUGGACUUGGAACACCAUUAAAGCUAAAUAAUAAAUUAUCACCAGAAGAUCAAGCUAGCUAGUGCUAAUUUAAUUAGUCAUGCUAUACUUUAAGUUCCUAAUGACAUAUAAAUUAAUUCGAAGAUAUUCUUAUCAUAAAAAAUAUAUAUGUAUAUAUGUUUUUUUAUUAUAUUAAUAUUUGAAACGAAUCAAUAUAAACAUAUACAAAUUAAUACAAGUAUCAAUUACCUCAAAACAAAAUUACCUCAGCUUCUUUCUUAACUCAAGUCAGGGCCUUCAGAUUUUGACCAUGCAAAACUUGGUCAAAGCUAUAUAUAAAAGGGGAAAAAGUCUUAUGUUUUUCAUUAUUAUUAUUUUGGGUUGCGAGUAGCCACAGCUUAAGGACGAGCUCGGGCGUAUGCGAGGGAGAAUACCCUACGAGGAUAUAGUCAAUGUUACAAAAACUGGGUUUAUUCACGUAUGAGGUAUAUGUAAUUAUCAAUUUGACCCGGUUUUAUUCACGUUCAGCUUAAUUUCUUGAGUAGAAUAUGAGAAUGGUUCAUCUUUGAUUUUUAUUUAAUUUGUUGUUUGGCGUUAUUUAUAUGCUACCAUCUUUGGUAUAUUAUCUUUAAAUAAGAUGUUCUCGUAUUAAUAAUUCUAUAUAUAUAUAUAUAAAAAAAAAAAAAAAACUUGAAGAGGGUACGUAAAAGAUCUAGCACUGAAGGGAAUCACUCCGAACAAGAAUACUAAAACAUGUCCUUUGCUGGCUAUUGAUUAAAGAACACGGUGCCCUGCGAUGCUGUUGUUCAUGAGUGUUCUCUCUGUAAGAAAUUCAAUUGUAGUGUUUUUCUAGCUCAGGGAAGAUUGUUUCUGUCCGGACAUGAUUAGGUAGCAAUCAAAUAACAAGACAAGAGCAAGGGAACAAAGUUGUUUUUUUUUUUUUAAUAUUCAUGAUGGAGUUGGUAAAGUAGAUGGGUCAAUAGGUAUGUUUUCUAUAUGUUCUUCAAUUUAAUUCUUUCUGUUCUGUUUUGUAAGCUUAUUCAAAAGUGUAAAGAUCUAGUUUCUUACAUGCAAGCUGUUUUAUAUAUAUAUAUAUAUAUAUAUAUAUAUAUAUAUAUAUUAAAAAAAAAGUUUUAUGUUGAAAGUAAUCCUAUGUCUGAAAUCUUUGGUCCAAGAAACGAAUAAAUCAAUCCUAGAGAAAAGUCGCAUUUUGAAGGAAUUAUAAUGUAUAAGCUGGCAUGGUACGUCAUCUCUCCAAGUCAACCCAUGAAAGAUGAUAUAUACAGCCAUCCAAGUCCCUUGUGAUUGAUGGUAUAGCAAGCAAGCACAGACAAUGCAAUAAGCAAAAUGGUGGGCUUGUCUCCUUUGCAGCCCAUGAAAGAUCAUAGAUUGGUCCAUGAGGACGAUUUGAUGAGAUCAUGGUGACAUGGUAGUAGAAAUGGUGGAAUAAUGAUGACGGUGAUAGUAGUAAUAGCGCCGGUUGUUAGGGUGGUGAUGGGGUAAUGGCCGCGGAAAUGGUGGCGAUAGCAGUUGAGGAAUUAUGGUCUAUUAAUUUGAACGAACGCUCUAACUUGUGGUGGAGUAAGACCCAUUGAGCUCGACUUUAUUUGACCCACCGACGGCAUCUUGGGCUUUCAAUGGGCUCAAGAGCACAACAAUUACUUAGUUUUUUUUUUUUAAUCGAAGAUAGAAAUUUCAUUAAACUAUAAGUAAGAAAUAUUUUUACAUUUAAGAUUUAAAUCAAUAAAUAUAUAAGAGAAUUGUAUAUGUGAGAAAAAAAAAAACAAUGAUCUUAUACUGCCUUGAUGAUAGGAAUUCCUUUCCAACUAUUACAUGGCAGUCUCUAUAAAAUAUCAUGAGGGGAAAGCAUUAAUUGCUUUUUAUUUUUAAUUUUAGUUAACUGAAAUAUUUUAUUUUAUUCUAUCUUGUAAUUUUUUUUCUAUAAGAAAAAUUAUAUUCUUACUAUAGAUGAGUUAGGGGGUGAGAAAAAAACCGAAAAACUGAUUAAACCGAGAAAACCGAAGACAAAUAAAUGAAAAAACCUGAACCGUAAAAAAAACCGAUUAAAAUUUUAAAAAAACCAACCGGUUCGGUUCUGGUUUUAUAAGCCAGAAACUGAAAAAACCGAACCGAAUCCAAGCCAAAAAAAAAACCUGGAAAAAAACCGAGCCAAACCGAAAAAACCAAGCCAAAACCGAAAAAACCGAGUCAAACUGAAAAAACUGAGCCAAAAACCGGUUUGAACCGGUUUUUGUCCUAAAAAACCGAACUGAUUGGUUUGAACCAGUUUCGAUUUAGUUUCAUUUUUUUAAAAAAAAAUUCAGUUUGAUUAUUUUUUUUUUAAAUAAAAACCAAACAAAAAAUAAUCACCUCUAAAAUAGGAGGAGGUUGAGGUUUUCAAGUAUUCUAAAUAUUGUCUGACACGUGAAUGGUUAAAUUGAUUGCCACGUAUUAAAAAGAAGGAAUUCCUCCUAUUUGGAUAGCAAAGAAUUAUUGUUUUUCAUUAUAGAAAAUAAAAUUAACUUACACACUCCUUUUAAUUGACGCACUCUUUUUAGAGAAUUUUUGUCUCUAAAAAUCAUACAUUAAAAAUUUUAUUUAGAAACUAAAUUAUAGGUUCAGAUCUAAAAUAUAAUAAUAUAUUUUACAAGCAUAUAGAUAAUUGACACUCUUUUUUCAUUAAUUUAUCAAUAAUUUUGUUAUAUUUAUAUUUUAUUUAAUACUCUUUUUUUUAUGUAUUAACAAGUGAAACUUUCAUUAUAAUACAAAAACUUAUGAAAUGACAGAAAAAACAAUCAAACAAGAAUCUUAAACUAAAAAAAUAUAAGAUAAAGGGGAUAAAUAUUAAAACAAAAAAAAGCAAGUCUAGUAGUAAAAAACACUAGACCUGUGAUUAUUGCGGGUAGAAAGGACAAAAUAAAGGGGGAAAAGAAAAGGAAUUCUGAAAAAAAGUGAUGGGUGACAACUUACCUCAAUUAUUAUUUAUAUCAACAAUGAUAGUGGUGUUUUUUUUCUUCCUUUUUUUCCUUUUAAUUUUGUCAUUAAUUUUUUAAUUUUAUCCUACUUGAUUCUAAAUUAACUUUCAUAAAUUAUUUCAAUUUGUUUUUAUAAAAUUAUCGUAGUUUCAAACAAAAAUUCAAAUAUUUGAUUUAUACUCGAUUUUACGAGUGUUAUUUUUAUUAUCGUAUGAUUAAGUGAAAAUAUUAUUAAAAUAAAGCUCUUAAACUUAGUGGAGUCCAUCACCUAGAUCGCAAACUUGAUGGGUUAAGUCUAGAAGCCAAGUCAAUUCAAUAUCUUGACAUUUUAUUAUUAAAAAAAUAACAUCUUGAAUUAUUAUUUUUUAAAGUCAAACUAUAUUUUUAUCAAUCGUUUUAGUUAUCUUUGGGUAUAUCAGGUUGAAUGAGUCAUGACAAAACAACUUUUACACACAAUUUAAUUUAAAUUUAUAUUAGAUAAAAAAUCAAGAGAUUUAAAGAUUAAUAUGUUAGAUCGGAUUUAAUAAUGAUGUUUGUUGAUAAAUACAAUAGAAGCUGAAGAUUGACUACUCAUGAGUAAAUAAAUGGGCAAUUUAAUAAUAUAAAUGCACUACAAAAGAAAUUGAUUUUUUUGGGGAAAAAAUUUAACUUAUUGAUUAAUGAAAAUUUUGAUACGAAUUAACACAUCUUUGCUUGCUAAUACUAUACUUGUUGAUAACUUUUCUUUUUUAUUUUUUAUUUGACGAGUAUAGGUAUUUUUGAACUAGUUUUAUAAGUCUUAAUGUAUAUUUGAUAUAUACAUUAGUAAUAAUUUUCUUAAUUUAUAUAUUUUACUUGAUUGGGAGUUUUUUUAGAUUAGUUUAUACACCAACUAAAACUAUAUAUUGUCUAUUUAAACGAUAUUAAUAUUUUCUUUAAUAAACUAUGGUAACUAACUUACCUUGUAACGUUUUAAAUCAUACAUUAUUAUACAUUUUAUUCUAAAUGUAUAAUACUGUAAACGGCAAGAUCUAGAGUUCAUGGAAUUAAGGUGAUGGACUCUCUCUCUAUCUCUCUCUAAAAAACAAAUAAUGAGUAUCUUGCACUUGAGAUCGUGGCCUAGCGGGGAAAGAGACUUGUUUUCUUCAUCUGCAUCCGGGUUCGAUUAUUUUUGUGCAUGUUUGUCAUCCCCGCAAUGCCUUACAUGCCCGCUGGACUUGCAGGAUGUUCAGUGAGCCUGAAGAUUAGUUGUGGUGCGCGUAAACUGAUCCAGAUACCCCGGAUUAUAAAAAAAAUAACGAGUAUUUUUUUUAAUGAAAAAUAGAGCAGGUAGGUUAAAAAAAAGUUUUAUUUAAUGAAAAAUAGAGAAGUUAUGUUAAAAAAAGUUCUAUCUUGAAUAUUAAGAAAUAAAUGAAAUGGGAAGAUCUUUUACAAGAUCAACAGCAUGGAAUCUAUUUCUGAAAUUUUCUUAGCGAUGGUAGGGAAUAAGUACGUAUUUUAUUUCUGAAAUAUUUAUAAAGUUAGAUCAUAGUAAUAAAUUUCAAUUGUACAAUAUAAACUGAGAAAACUUGUGUACGAGCAUGUCAAUAAUAUCAUGAGCAUUGUUCAUGUCAGAUGUCUUUGUAGAUGAACGUUGACGGAGUAACAAACUGCAAAAUAAAUGAGCAGCGGCAAGACCUUAUGCCAUGGACAUGGAGGGUACGAUCCACAGGUGAUGUGGGCUAGAAAUUAAUUCCCCAUGGAUCUUUUAGCUGUAAGAUUGUGUGUGCCCACAGUGUUUUUCCAGCCUCCACGGCAUCUAGUCGCAUGGUUUUGGCUUAAAACUCCACACUAAAAACUCCAAUUGUAACCAUCACUUGUAUUAUUAAAUUUUUUUUAAUAAGAUGAAUUCAAGAUAUCAAAAAAAAUCAUUAACACUAAUAGGUAACACUCUGUGCUUAAAUGCAUGUGAGUUGCAUGUGGCAAACUCUAGCGAUUAUUGAUGAUUUUUUUGAUAUUAUUAUAUUUGUUUCGUGAAUUUUUUUUUAUGAUAUCAAUAAUGUAAAAAUCAAGACUUUGAUGUACCUCUAAUAUUUUUUUUUUCUUCAUUAUAAUUGUUCACUUGUUUUUAAAUUCGAACAAAAAGUGUCACUAACUCCAAUCACCAAUCAUGAUAUUUAUCCGUGUUGUUAGAGUGUCUCGUUGAAAUCUUUUUGAUAAUACUAGUGGUAUAGUAAUUGAAGAUUCAAUGUGUUUUCAAAAUCUCUUUAUUUUUUUUUUUAUCUUUUUUCAUUAUAAUUUAUACCAGAUUUUUUAAUAAUUUCUUAGAAAUAUCUUGUUUUUUAUUAACAAAAUCUUAAAAUAUCGCGUUUCUUCAUUAUAAUAUAUACCAAACUAUAUUAUAUUUUUUUCAUUACCUAAAUUAUUUGGAGAAUAUUUUGUUGAGAUGUUAAUAGAAAAAAAAUACCCAUAUAUUUCCCUCUUAGCGUCACUUUUUUUUCCUCUUCCGACAGCAAAACCUAGGCAGAUGCAUACAUACAUUACACUGUUACUCUUUUCAAUGAACUUCAAUCCCCAUCACAGUGGAACCACCCUGCUUUUUGCCUAAUUGUAGAGCCAAUUGAUAGAUGCUGACGAGUGACGGGAAAACAAGAAAUAUAAGCCUGGGUAUUUAUUCCUUCUCGAGUUCCAGGUUUGAAUACAUGGUAAAUGCUCGGUUUUUUUUUUAAAAAAAAAUAAUUAGCAUAAUAAAUAUAAAAAUUUGGUUUAAUAGCAUCUUUAAAACAAAAAUUAAUGAAAUAAUAUAGUUUAAUAUUAUCACACUUUAAAAAUACCAUAUUUAUUAAAUAUCAUUAUUAAAAAAGCGACAAGAAACAUCAUAUUUUAAAAAUGUAAUAAAUUAUGAUAUUGUAACACUUUACACUUUCAAAACACGACGAAAAAAAAAAGUUGGUGUUACAGCAAUUAAUCUUCUUCCACCAACACCAGCAUCACAUACCUAAACAUCAAUCAAACACAUACUCAAUCACACCACCAUCUCCACCGCUAUAAGCAGCACCAAGUCCCGCCAUUUUAAUCCUCAAAAACCCAUAACAGAACUCGUUGGAGUUUUAACAAAACUUUGUGAAUUGAAAAUAUUGUUUAACAGACGAAUUAGCUUUAAAGAUUGACUCAUCGUAAAGUAUUUUAUUUCACAUUGAUUAACUUAUUUAUAAACUAUUCUAUACAAAAUAUCAGUGGUGGACUUUUUAACCUAAAAACCAAGGGUUUAAAGUACUUCAAACAUCAAAUCAAGAGGCAAAGAAAGAUAAAAACAAGUGGCUAAAGUCGUGAGGGGAAGCGCGUGGAGGGAAGUGUCAUGUGGGACAUGCAGCAGCAUCUUACACAGAUAGACAGACAUAGGUGUAGCUCAGCCUCUGCUACGAAAAGAAAUGAUAGGAUUGGAAUUUGAGUACACAAAUCAACGAGACACCCUAACCACCCAUCAUGUUCGGAGAGCUGGGAGCAUUACCUACCUUUACAUCACUCUCCUUUCCACUGUGUAUUAAUUUGACCGACCCGAUAUUUUGUUAGGAUUGCCGGUCUCCCACUACCAAAGGAACCCUCCUGAAAAGGUCGACACGCCCCUUCAUAUGAAAAGGAAGGCGACGCUGUUGCUGUUACUGUUGCUGCUGCUGCUACUGCUGUUAGAAACCAGUACCAUGGUAUGCAUAGCAAGGUAGCUCGUAAACAGUUAGAAGAUUCCUGAGGGGUGGUGGCCGGAUACUGCUGGAGGACAGGUUUGGGGUCACGUUGACCUUUGAUUACGGCCUGGAGGGACCUGUUAAGGCCAGUAAGAAAUGGACUGGACUGCACUAGCAUGAGGGCAUGUGAACAUUUGGGUCCCAUGCAUGCGUUUCCCAACAUUUCAUUUCAAGUCUAAAUGAUUUUAAUGUGUGCCCAGAAGUCGAAUCAUUCAAUUGCUUGUCGCUCCUCAUAUACUGUAAUCAACUGGGAAGAUUUAAUUCUUUUUUCUUUAGCAUAUUAAAGAGGUUUAAUCCGAGUUAUUUGAGAGAAAAAAAAGUAACUUCAUCAAGGGUCACACAGUUACAAUUCAAUAGUUCAGAUUCGAGAUUUUUGUUUUAAUUUCUUAGAAUCAAAAAAUGAAAUUUAAGAAUGAAAUUAAGGAGUUCUUUUUUUUAGUGCUACUGCUUUUAUUAUUAUUUUGAGUUUCAUAUAUUAGUGGGGAAUCUCAUGUCUAUAAAGUUUAAUUAUGAUAGUAUAAAUCAGGGCAAUGAUAGAGAUUUGCUUCUCCGUGAAGGUUGAGAAGAUGAUGAGGCCAAUGAUUUAUAUUUAGGGAUGGCAAUGAAUAUUUGGGACGUUUGAAAAUAUGAUAAUAAUUAUUUUUAAAAUAUUUUUAGAUCAAAAAUAUUGUUUUAGAAAUAUUUUUAGAUCAAAAAUAUUUUUAAAUCAAUUUUUUAAAAAAUACUAUUUUAAAUACAAUUUCAAACAGCUCCUAAAUCUCAGGAUCAUUGGUCAGGUUUUAAGUUUAUUUUAUAGAAACUACCGGUUCGAGUUUCACAAAUCUCAGGACCACUGGAGACUUAUAUAUUUAUUAACUCUAGGACUCGUAGGAUUAGUCGAGGUACAUAUAAAUUAGUCCGAACAUCCACAUUAAUUAAAAAAAAUUAAACACAUAUGAUGUACAGAGCUACAUAAUAAUUUUCUUCAAGUGCAAUCCUCUUUUUAUUUGUUUUAAAUGUUAUUUGAGACUGCAAAACCUAUUUUAUACCACUAAUUUAUCAAUAAAUCUUUUAUCUUUAUCAAGAUAAAAUAAAAUAUUUUAAUUAAUAAUCAUUAAUACUCUUUUUACUUAUUAUCACAUGAUCACAGUUAUAAAAAGUAAAGGUAAACAGUAUUUGUUAUGUUACUGUAACUCUUUCUCUCUCCCUAUCAUUCAUGAUUCAUCCAUUGAAAUCAUGUUUCAAAUCACGUUUUAUAAAAGUUUAAAUAUUUUUAUUGUUAAUUAUUAUUUUAAUACAUUGAAAAACACUUUUUAAAAAAAUCACUCUCGCAAACGCAGACGCCCACCUGAUUCUCUAAGAUCUUGGUUUGCUGGAUGUGGUCCUGUGGAAUAUGAACACAAGGAUUGCCCUAGUAGCUAGCUAGCCAGAACCUCUGAAACCUAUAAAACCUAUGAACAAUUAAUAAUUUGAGACAAUAACUUCACAGUCAAUCUGGUCAAACAAGAAAACAAACUUAGGAUAGCAACUACUCAUUUUUCUCUCCCAUUACGUCAAGUUACAGUGACUCGGUUAAAUUUAAUUUACUUUUUGUUACUGAGUUAUGUGAAUAAAAACUCUUAAUUUACUGUUUUGAAACAAAAAGUUGAAGCGGUCAACAAUUUAUGUACUAAAUCAGCAUUUUUUAUUAUUUUGUAGUGAUGUUCGUGUUUAUUUAAAAAAACAACAACUUCAAAACUUAUGUAGCUAUGCAUUUGGAGGGAGUUAAUUUACCUUAAUAAUGGAUUCGAUGGUGCCCGAAUACCAUAUUUUGUUGUUAAGCAUAUGAUUUAAAUUCAAAACUGACAAGCCAAAAGACCAAAGCUCUUGGAAACAAGAACAAGAACAAGAACAAGAACGCACAACAAAGAAAGUUAUCUGGCCACACUGGAUAGCAAAAAAGUUUUCCGAUCAAAUUGAACAAUAGGGUUUGCAUCAAACCCGAAAUACAAAUUUUUCGGUCAAGUUUUGUGGGUUUCAACCAAAAAACAGAUUGGACAACAAGUUGUUCAGUCAAAUUUGGUGAAUCUUAACCCAAACACCAGACCAAAUAGUGAGUUGUCCAGUGAAGUUUAGAAGGUUUAGACCCAACACAACCCUUCGCAUGCACAUGAUCAUAUGUCGCUCAAACUCUUUACUUUUUAGCAUGUACAUGCUCUCACAUGCAUUUAAUUAUUCAAGAGCACACAUCUUGUUAGUACGAUAUUGUAACCUCCCAAGACAUGGCAACACACACCUUCUUCUCUCUUGUAAAGCUAUAAUUUUGGAGCUUACAAACAUAUAGAUUGUCAAUGUGACGUCUACUUGCCUAACCAAUAACUAUCGACCAAUAAUUAUUACGAUGCCUAAUCUAUCUUAUGUGGAAUUUACAUUUGACUACUCAUCGUAUAGGUUUCUCGUGUGGUAAAAAUAAUUAUUCUUCACCGUUACUUUUAUUUGAUAUGUUUGCAACUUUACACUCCGCAAGGUAAUUUCAUGUUAUCGAGAUAUAUAAAUAUCUCAAGUUACCAUGUAAUGAUAGACAACAAGCCCACAUAAUAAUACCACACAUAAUAAUCACAACAUCCAUUGACUAUGCUCUUCGAUCUCAUUCCUUUUAUUCUACUUAUAUUAAGGAUCUCCUAUUCUAUCCUAAUAAAGAACUUGUUUUGCAGGAGUUUGGGAACCAACCCAGCCCAAGUUAAAACAAAAAUAUAUUCAUAACUCAUUAUACCAGUCGUGAAAAGGCUCGUGUUCAAUUUGAGGUUUUUUUCAACUUCAUCAAAAACAUUGUACGUGGGAAGUUGAACAAAAUCUAGUUCACUCCCGUUUUACACACCACUAAAAGUUGUUUUCGUGGUUGACUUAAAAGUGUCAAGGCACGGGAGAGUAAUUGACCUUUCUUCCUAUCACAGGUACAUCAACUAUUAUAUAUCUCAAACAAAUUGUUCAUCAAAUAAGAAUGCUCAGUGAAACUAUUUUAACUAUAUAAGAACAACUUUGAACUUUGUCAUUUCCUCAAUAUGUGACAUAAUAAUUGGCUUUCACUAUGUGUACCGCCAAGUGCACUACUGAGUGCAUAUAAACAACUGCAGUUUCAUGAAGGAACGAGACAAAAUGAUGUGCAUGAAAUUAAGCAUGAGAAUGAUGUAUUGGUGUAUAUGCCCUGUAACUAAUUGAUCGGUUUUUUGUAAUAUUGACUUUGUUAAUGUAAAAACAUAUUUAUUAUUCAUUAAAGACUUGUUUAUCUUUAAUAUUCAUUUAUGUGUGAUUAAUGAGUUUAGAGUAAAGAAAAAGUAUUAUGAUAAAAAUAUUUUGAAAAAAAAAUUACAAAGUAGUUAUAAUUAUAAAAUUUACAUUACAUCAUGAUUAAUACUUUAUUAAAAUCGAGCAUUAGUAUUCUAGAUUCUUUUAUUACGUAACUACAAAUUAAUUUAGAUAUUUGGUAUUCAAUUUUAGUUUUUUAAGAUAUUAAAAAGAAAUUGCUGGAUUUGGAUUUUUUUAUGAUUUUUCAAUUUAUUUAAUUUAUCAGGCAUUUUCUCACAUAUUUUUUAAACAAAAAAAGGCAAAAUCAAACGUCAAAGAAGCCCUUAGAAAUAUCUCUUUUCACCGUCUUGAUUUCUUGAAAAGCACACUAGUUCUCACUCAAAUUGUGAGAAAAACGGGUAGGAACACAUUCAAGCGAUCCUCUGACGGACCGUUGCAUUUGCAACAGUUCCCAUUCUCUUCACUUGGUUUUGUACUUUCAAAGACACAGAACAGGACACUGCUUCUCUCUCUGUCUUCUGUCACGUGACAUCUCAAUUAUAAAGAGAGGGGGUAAAGAAAGUGACUAUUUUCACCAAGAACCCAAGACAAAGACACUUAUUUCUUUGGUCCUCUCACUCUUGUAAUAAUAUCUAUCAAUCGAUCUUUAGGAGAUUCAGGCCGCUCUCUCCGUGUUAGAUACUUGUCUGUUUAGAGAGACGGAGAGAGAAAAGAGAGUGUUUUUUUUUUGUUUGUGUUAAUUUGUGUGUGCCCGUCGUUGCAAUAUAGGUAAGAAAGAAAUGCAACAGCACCUGAUGCAGAUGCAGCCCAUGAUGGCAGCCUAUUACCCCAGCAACGUCACUACUGAUCAUAUUCAACAGGUUCUCUCUUCCCUUCUCUUCUCUGCUUCACGCCUUCUCCUUCUCUUUUUAUCUGCCCUUUCUUCCCUGUUUCCAGUAAGUACUUCAGCUUUUGUUUGCUUGCUUAUUUUUCUUUUUUUCGAGUGUUUUGUGUGCCUCUAAAGUCCAAGUAAUGUUAGUGGCUAUAUAUAUACGCUGUUGUUUUCACCAUCUAUUUGCUACCUUUUCCUUCAAGUUUUCUUGUUGGUUUCUGUUUCCUUAUCAUUGACAAUUUCUUUUUCACACUUUUCUUGUGAAUUUUGAUGUGUAUUGGUUUACAAGUUUGUUCUUUAUGUAUGUUCAUCUCUUUUUGUAAGUGGGUUUUUAUUCUUUUGAUGUUUCUUUAUGUCUUGUACAUGCUUUACUCAUCACUUGGGGUUCAUGUCCAGUUCAUAUUUUUCUGCUUUUUUGGCAGCAGUAACUUUUUCUCUUUGAUAUUUCCCAGCAACAAAAGCUUGAAUCUUUAGAUUAUUUGGUAUAUUUUUCUUUUGGAGCCAGAGGUCAGCAGGUUAUAUAGGGCAUGUAUAGCAUCAUGCUAUUGAUUUUUUUUUGCUGUUUCUUGGUUGUUCUUUAAUUAGUGUUUACUUAUUGUUUAUUCCAUAUUUGAUCAUAUAAUAUUGAUGGAUCUCAUUGUUAUUUUAAAAUCUAAUGUCCUUCCUUCUUUUGUUCUUAACUGGAUAGCCUAAAAAUGACUGGUGCCCUUACCAGCUACCAUAUGUUAAAGAGUUGGUAUACAUACAGAGGUUUUAAACCGUGCAAGUAACUGCUAGCAUGGCAGAGCAGAAAACAAAAAAUUAACAUAUUGGCCACUUGAUUUUACAGAUGGAUGUGAGGACUCAAUUUCUGCUGUGCAAAACCCAAGAAAACUAAGUAAUAACACAAAAUCAAAGGGAUAUGAAAUACAACAUGGUUUGGCAAAUCCUACUUCACAAAAACAUCUCACCAUCUAAAAUUCGUUUAAAUCCAAGGAAUUUUCAUUACACAACUGUUAGCCCUCACAAACUACAAUUGUGAAAAACUAUACGAUAAGGCAACCCUUUCACAAAACCCACCACUGCC
rnacentral:lncRNA from 1 species